AUAAACUAAAAGUCUAUGCCGGCACCAAAUACUUACAAUAAUUCAUGACUCCAAAAAUGAAAAGACUUUCAAAAAUAAAUUUCCAAAGCGUUGACAAAUCUUAAAUCAAAAUUUCCACAGUUCAUUAGCGUGCGUUUCACUCUCUUUAAUUUCCUCCUCCUUGCUUCCCCAUUUGCCACCUUUGUUUUUUCCUCCUCCAAUCACCAUGCCAUAAUUAUACUUGUUAUAUAUAAACAAAAUCUUUCACCUUAUAUGCUAACUUGUCUCCCCUUAUACCAGUAAAAAACUACAAACCUUUAAAAGCUCUUCUUCUAAAACCCUACUCCCACUUCCCAAAUAUCAAAAGCGAUUUGUUUUCUCUUCUUUUUCAAAUGGCUCCUUUAUCAUUGGCACUUCCUUUGCAAUCCAAGAAGAUUUCAUGCACAAGGCAGCAGCUUUCCAAUAUCAUAUAUGUCGUGUUUCUGAUUACACUUCUUGCUGGCUCUAGUUUUGCCAGGCCUGCCACUAGGCCUGGCAAAACCAUAAUUGUGGACGAUACAGUUUCCAUGACCGUGUUCCCGAGAAAGUACGAGACGGGCUUUCGAUACCAAGGACAGAUGUUCAACUUCUUCCCCAAAGGGAUCCCUAUACCACCUUCUGGUCCUUCUAAAAGACACAACUCUGUAGUCGAUUCUACUCGAAACUGAGUAGGCAGUCCUUUUUUCUGUAGUCUCAACUCUCAAAGCUUCUUUUUUCAUCUUUCCUCAGUUUUUUUUCUUUCUUAAUAUAGCUGUUAGGAUUGUUUGCAGCGAAGGGCUUGUUUUAGGGGGGGGGGUGAUUGAAUGUGAAGCCCAAUGAAAUCGGGUCAAAAACAGAGCUCACCCCUUUCAGGCUUUUUGAGAUUUUUACUUAGAUAUACUGUAUAGAAAUUAUGAUUUGUUUGUUGAAAUUUUCUACUGGUAUUCGUUUCAAUAUUAAAAAAAAAAAUUGCAGCUGUAUGUACACUUGGUCGAAAUGAAUUCAAUUUUGUGAUGAAUUAUAAUGAAUCAAAUGCUUUUUUUUUUUUUUGCAUAUUCUUUGUACUAAACAGGGACAGUAUAUGGUUAUCUCCCUCUCUCUGUUUUUGGUUUUGACUUUAGAUUGUGAAGAAAAGCCAGCUAUGGGAUCUACUUUCAUUGCAGUAGGGGAGAAAGCUCCAAUGGUUGCGUUUGGUAUUGGUAUAGACUAUAGAGUUGGGCGCCUUCUUGGCCCACUUAAUUGGGGUCGUACAUUCAAUGAGGAAUAUAAAGGAGCCUUGUUUUAUAUUCACUAUUUCUUUAUACAAACAUCAAGAAGUAUUGUCCUAGUUUAUUUAGGUUACGAUAUGAAUAAAUAGAUUUUAUGAGGCCUUGUGUGCGCCCCCAGACGUUGUUAAUUACGUUGAGUGUGUUGCUUAUUUAGACCAAAAGCUGUGUAUUGGAAAAAGUGGAGGUUGAUGGCAAAUUUCUUCCCCACGUGGAAGGCAAAUUGGCGAAACUUCAUGAAUUCUGAUUUCGGGCAUUUUCAUUGAAAAUUGCGAAAGGAGGAUGAUAGUAUAAGCCUAAAUAAUAUUUUAGAUGUAACCGUGAACCUCAUGCAGCUAUAAGAAUUUUGCUUUUCAUAUUUGUCACGUUUGACCAUCUAAGAUACAUAUAUAUUAAAUUAAGGAGGAUUUAUACAAAAUUAAAAUAAUAAUAGUACGGAAAUGCCACCUUGACCUUAAUUCAUGGGGACAGGUAAGAUCUGAACCUUCAUGUUGAUGGAUCAUGGCAUAUACUUGCUUAAAUUUUGGAGACAUUUUCAACCACUCUUACUAAUUUUUAAAGGUUAAUUACAGUGAGUUAAUCAAUAAAUUAUUGGAGAAAACAGAGGUGAACUUCUUUUCAAGUAAUUGGAUUAAGUUUGAAUCUGAAGUCAUUAAUAUUAAGAGUGUUUUAUCUGAAUACUACCUCUUAUCCGAACAAGAUUAGACUUAAAGUUUAGAAUGAAUAAAAAUACUUGUGGUUAUACUAAAAGAAUGGAAAUAUAUCCCUUGACUUUUACUUCAUUUUAAAAUGAUGUGGACCGAUUUAUCUUCAUGUAAUUAUAUAUUAAAUUCUUUUCUAGAGUUUAAUUAAGCUAAUUUGGUAGAUAUAAUUAUUCUAUCUUUUUUCACUUGAUUUCAACGUUACUCAAAUUUGCAUAAUUUGAACUAAAACUUCUCUAAUAAUUUCAUGCUAAACAAGUUGGAGCUAUGAUAGUAUUGUAAACCGUAAAGAAUAGAGAUGAGAAAUGGGUUUGGUUUGAGUAGGCGGCUAAAUAUAGGCAGGAAUAUAUAGCAUCUCAGACUUCACUUUUGGGAUUAAAUUUUAGUUAAUUGGUGGGUCCAAAGUUCUAAAUUCAUGCAUAUAUAGGCAUAGGUAUCGCACGGUCAUAUUGAAAACGUUUUAGUUCAAAACUCUUGAUGCUGCUGCAAGUACAAGAUCAUCCCCUGUUUUUGCAAUGGCCGGAUUGGUUGUCUGGCAAAGCUCCAAAAACAGCUAUCAGAUUCUGUAACUAGCUCUCUAGUGAUAUAUUUUAGUGCUAUUUACAGGCGGGCCUGACAAUUUUAUAGCAAAGGAAAUAGGCAAUGAAGUCAGUAUACACAUGAAUGGUGAGCAAGCUGUUGCCAGACUUGUUCCAAAUCUAAAAUCAAACAUGAGAAUGCAUAGUAGAGUAUCCAGAAUUGCAUUUAGACUGACCAUAAGCUAUCCCCUAGAUUUUAGCUCUUCUUUAAAGAACAGGAUUAAGCGGUUUCCACGCGCAAUAAAAUCCAAAUCUCUAAACGAAGAAAUUUCCACACCUUCCUUUUCUAUUAUUGUAUGUAAUGAUGAGUGUUCAAUUUUUUUUUUAAUUGUACGAAGGUUAGUAUUCAUACCAUACAAAUAGAGACUUACUCUAAUUUUUUAGUAUGCUUAAAAUUUAAUAAUUUAGUAUCAAAAUUUCAAUAAUUUUUAAAAACUUUAACAGUUUUACAAAUUGAUAUACGGACUAAGUAAAUCAAACUCCCACAAUUUCAAAAAUAUAAAAUUUUUAAAAAAACUAAAAAUUGUUUAUCAAACAAGGAACCAAAGUUUGAAAGCUUCAACCCCCAUUUUUUUUUCGUGAAAAUGAAAAAGAUGAGCAAGAAUGUCUUAUUUUUUCUUUUAAUUUAAUAUAUAUACUUUCAUUAACUUUAAUUAAUUACAAUUUAUUGAAUUAAAUUAUAAUUAACUAAACAUCAAUCUAAAUUAAUUAAACAUAGUGGAUUGUGACGUCAACCACCAUCGUUUGAUACAUUUAGAAGGGUUCAAUUGGUUAAUUGAUCUUUCGGUUAAUUAAAAUUCUAUAAUGAUUAACUUUAAUUAGCUAUUCAACUGAUAAAAUUAAGGGAUCAAAUUUUAAUUAAAUAUUAUAUUAACUUUACAAAUAUUAAUUAAUAAUAUUUACAGAAUCGAAUAUCGAAAAUGAGAUUCUAAAAUCACUAUUUCCGAUAUCACUGAAAAAUAAACUAUUACAAUACAGACAAAUUAACAUAUCAAUCCAUGUCUGAAACACAAAAAUUCCUGCUUAAUCAAAAUCUAGGCACCCAAGUAAAAUUUGCAUGCACAUCAUUUUACAUACCUCUAAAUUUGAUCCAAAAGUUCAAAUAAAAACAAAUCAUUGUGACAACAUGACAUAUAAGCGUCAAGAGACCAAACUAAUGAAAAGUGUCGAUAUAAAAUCCAACUAAGAUCCUUGUACAUGCCCAAACUAAAAAGAAAACUGCUAAAACUUAUUACAUAUCAGAGUAUAGUCGAAUGUACCCCUUUGCUAAGGUUGCUUGAGCCUCACAAGAUACGAAUCCUCAAUACCUGCGCACGAAAACAAUGUUCAGUGGUGCAAAACAUAUCUCCAAAUAUAUUAUAUGCUAAUACUAUAUUGUAAAGCAUACUAAAACAAUAUUAAAGUUAAAUAUUAUCAGACUCUAUUAAUCAUGCUUCAAAUAAGAACACAAGAUGACAUUAUUACAUAUUAAAAGUACAUUAAUUAAUAAUUAUAUAAUUUUCAUAGCAAAACUAACAUUAACAUGUUUGAAAUCAUAUCACAAGAUCGUCCUAAACUCUAAACUCUAAUGCUCAAUUAAUCGAAAUUAAGCUCAUAAAUGAAUAUAUGGAUAUUCAUCCAAUUCUUCGAAAAGAUAGUGCAUAAGUAUAAAGAGGUACACAAUAACAAAACUUCGAUACAUGUUGAACAUAAAUUACCAACCAAAAUCUUGAGGUUGCAUAAAACACUACAAAACAAAUCUCAUGAAUGCACAAAUGCUAACCUGAAACACAAUAUCAAUGACUCAAACAUACAUCCUAUGACAUGCCAACUAUACCAAAAACUAUCUAAAGUCGUUUAAAUGGGUUGUUAUCAUAUUAAACAUAAUUUGACAUUUACAAUCUAGUCACUUAUAGCACAUGAAUGAGCAGCAUCAUAAUUCCAGUAACCAUUUUCCUUUAAGUAGAAUUUAGUCAUUAACACGAACAUUCACUCCAUCAAACAUAAUACUAAGUAUAUGAUCACAUCAUUAUACCAUCAUCAACCAUACAUAACGUAGGAACAAAUUCUAAGCAUUUCAAUUUAGAUAAUAACAUAAAAUAAAUUGGAAAUUAAAUUGCACAAAUCGAAAUCGCUCAAGCUUCUGUGAUUUUCUCCUUCCCUUCGAUUUUGAAUUUUCAUCGACCUCUUUUGCUUCAAAAUCAUUAUCAACAUAACAAGUUAGCAUAACAAUAAACAAAAAUCAAAGUCGCUAAAAAAAAGCAUGCGUUGCAAUCAAGCGAAACUCCUUCUCACUUCUAAAUUCCUCUCUAGAUAACUUUAUCCGAAACUUAAAUCUAACCUUAAAUUCAUACUUUAAGAACCUAAAACUAAGUUUAGAACACUAAAACCUAUACUGAGAACUCAAGAUUACAACACAUUCCUUUCAACAAUGACAAAACUUGACAACGCACCUAAGACUUCAAUCAAACUUGAGAUUUGACAUUCUAAAGGUAUUCUAAACUAAAGAACAUCAAGAAUCUAACUUGAAAACAACCAAAAACCAUUGAAUCAAGCCUACUCUCAUUAUAGAAAAAAUAACGUAAAUAAAGAGAAAAGAGGGUAAAUGCUUAAAUCAAAUCUUUCAAAGCUAAAGUCAAUUAAUAAGGUUUGAAAAUCGUAUUACCUUGCUAAACAUCAAUGCUUGGAUCCAAGAAAACUCAAGAAUCAACUUUUUCCUUCAACGGAGAAUUUUACACGAAAGUUAGAAUUUUUUUUUUUGGAAAAUAUGAUUUUCAAAAGAUAAAAUGUUAAAAUGUUUGGAUAGAAAUCUACUCAACAAAGCUUGCAUCCUUGAAGUCUUGUUUAUGAGAAAAUAAUUUGAAUGGUGAAAUGAGAAAUGUUAUAUUGUUCCCUCCAACCACUCUAGACUAAUGGGCCAAUUUCUAUUUAUUCCCUAAUCUAAUUCUUAUAUAAACCCUUAUAAAGCUCUAAAUCUAAUUUAAAUGAAUUUAGAUAUUGACCCAAAGAAUUUUACAACCCUUGUGAUCAAGUCCUCACUUCACUACCCACUAAUUAAUAUCAAUUAAAACAUAAUAAAUGCACUAAAUAUUUACUACUUGACUCACAACUCAACCUAAGGCUCAUUCAAGAAUAGCUCAAUUCAUAAUUUCGAUUCAAAAUCGAUCUUUUUCCGAUUUUGGAAAAAAUUAGGGUUUUAUAAAUGACUUUACAAUGUUAACCCAAUAUUGCCUUUAAUGACCCAUAUUUACAAUUCUAGCCCAUACAUAGAAUUAGGCUCACAUCAAUACCCUUCUUGCAAAGAAUCCUAGUAGUCAAGGAUUAAAGCUUGUGAUCUCAUCACCUUCAUGACCAUAGGCGUACAAAAUAGUCGUUAUAGGCAUGUACAUCUCCUAGUAAGUAAUGAAAGAAUGAUCCAACGGAGAGAGGAGUUGUAAGAAAUGGUUCCAAUAACAAUUUAAUCUUUUUUUUUUAUAUCGUUUAAGUGAUGAUAAUGUGACAUUUUAAAAUAGUGUCACAUAAUUACAUGCUUUUCUAAAGAAAGAAUUAUAUAAAAAAUUAAAAAUUUUUUAUGAAUGCAUGUUUAUAAUGAACUUGGACAAAUGAACGUUCAAGUUCAUCCAAGUCUAAAUAAUCAUUUAUCUAGAUUAAUUUUAAACGCGAUAUUUUAAAUAAUUUUAUAUAUAUAUUUUUUAUAAUUUUAUAAAAUAAUAAUUUCAAAUAAACUCUCACCUUAUAAAAUUUUUUGAAUUUUGAGGAGAUGAACUUAGGUGUCCAUUUGUUCAGGUUAAUUAUGAUUAUGCACUUUUCAAUAUUCUUUUACAUUUUUCUUCAUUUAAAAAAAUUAAAAUAAGUUUUUAAAAUUUUAAAAUUUUUAUGAUUUUAUAUAUAUUUUAAAAUAUUUUUUUAUAUAUUCUAUAACUUUCAACAUUUUUUGAUUAAUUUUAUCAUUUUUAUAAAUUUCUAUUUUUGAAUUCCAAAACUUUUAAAAAUUUUCUAUAAUUUUAAUUAUAGAUUUAAAAAAUAUUUUUUAGAAUAUCCAAUCACCUCUUAAUGUUAUUAAAAAAAAGAAUUAAUAAUAUUAAAAUUCACACGUAAAUGGAUGGAGAGAUGGAUAGAUAGGUAAGGGACGUGAUGCUGUGUUGAUAUCUUGCUGCGGUAGUGUUGUGGGACUUGGGGAGUAGUGGUUGUUUUGUGGUUUGGACGUCUGUCCAUCAUCAUAGUUUCUGUUUGAGUGGGCUUUACUCCAUUUUGUUUUUGUGAGUUCUAAGGGCCCAAGGGGCUUGACUCGGUCAUACGGAAGUUGGGUAUUUUAAUUGUUUCCUUUGGGUGUCGGUCUGGGCCUCUAACUAAAAUAAUAGUAAGUUUAGAGUCACAUGCAUGUUAAUCUGACUUUUCAAGAACUUUGUAUAAGAUAAUAAUGUGCUACUGGCUUAUUAUGUAUGAAAGUUAUCUUAUCAGAGUUGCAAUAUUUUCAUAACACUAUGUACUUGGACAAUAAUGAUUGAUUUUGCUUGGGAUUGGAGUUAACUGCGGUUUAUUAUUAUUUUUUCAAUAAUUUUAUUAUAGAUUUUAAUUAUAUCUAAUCUUUUUAACAUAAUGUCUAGAAUUAUUCAUAGUCCCUUCUCAACCUAUAAAUAGGAAGAUAACUCGUUUCAACGCACUCAAACCCACGUCUUCUUACAUUGACAACUAUACUCAUACUAAUCAAAUUAAAACUCAAUCGAUAACUGAUGUUUGUUUAGAUAAGUACUUCCUAAUGAUACAAUGAUUAUUAGGUGAAAUUAACCAAUGAUGUACUUGUUCUAACUAAUUAUGCUUUAAUACCAUUGAUGAUCUGGAAAGGCUAAUGUGAAUGUUAAUAAAUAUUUUAGAUUUCGUAGACGAAACUACUAAGAUGGCACCUACUAGCAGGAUAUCUAUACCUUAACUAAAAGCCAUCUCCUAAACCAAUAGAAUUUCGGAAUUUUGAUUUGAGGGUGUUUGAUUAAGCAGCUAAGCAGUGGGGAAAUAUGAUUGAAAGGGUAGUUAACAGAUAAAGUUUUCCAUUCUUUCUUUGUAAGUUAAAAGUUUUAUUAUAAAAAAUUAUUUUGUUAUAUAUGUUAAAAAUUAGGGGAGAAGAUUACAUUAACACUGCUCAACCAGAUUUCAAAAAAGGAAUUUAAUUACUGCUCAGGUACGUCAUUAGAGGUAUCCAUCGGAGUGAGCCUAAUAACUAAUACUUCAUAUUUUAUAGGCUUAUUAAGAAGGCAGAUGCUAACCACAAGGAUUUUUAUUUUUAAUUUCUUUACUUCGAGUAUUUUUGAGAGUAAGCGAAGUAUUAUUGUAAUUAUUAUGUUAUAGUUAUUAUUUUUAGUUUUAUAUAUUGUGUUUUAAUUUAUUUUAUAUUUUGCAUAAUUUAUUAUGUUAGUUCAAUUUAGAAAAUUAAAUUGUGUAUUUGUGUCGGUAUAUCAUAUAUUGCAUACUUCAUAUCUAUCUUACAUAGUAAUUCAUUUUGAUUCUAAAUUUAUAAACUUAGAAGUUAAAUUAAUGCAUAUAAUAUAUAUUUGUAUACUUAAAUAAAAGUUAUCUAAAUGCAUGAGAUAAUUUUUAUGGAGCGGUUGUUAAAACUUUUGUGAAACACCUAUUUGGUACGGGUUUGAGUCGUGUUACCCUCAUCCCUUACCUUAAUAUUUUAUAAAAAAAAUGACUGCGAAUGAUUAAUUUUUAACCACUUGUGUCAUUAAAAUUAUUUUGGGGAUAAAUAUGUAUUAGGUCAUUUGUUAUGAAUAUCUUAUUAUUAAGUGGAUGUCCAUCAAGAUCAAUAUAAGCUUAGUGUACUUUAGGACUCUAAUAUUCAUUAGAAGUAGAAUUUUAUUUUAUUUAUAUUUCUUACAUUUAUAAAUAUAGACUUUAGAGAAACAUUGUAAAUAACUUAUUGAUCAAUAAAAAAUCGUUCUCUUUUGCACUCCUAUUUCUUGUUCUCUAUUCAUUAUUUAUUUCAUAACAUAUUAUCAUCACGAUACUCGAUAAAAAAAAUACUGUCUAAAAACUCGCCCACGAGAAAAAACUUUUUUAGCUUCUUUAAGCGUUAGUCGUUUGAGAUUUUUUGUCAAAAUUUGUCAGGGAAAAGAAACCUACUGUUACUAAAGAGAGUUGAGCUUAGGUCCCAAGUCUCCAUGGUCGUUUAACCACUUAUCUACGCACGAACCAUUACUAGUUUAUUUUAAGAAACUUAUAAAAUCAAUUGCUGUCAGAGAAGAAAAGAAAGAAAGAUCGCUAUACAAGGGAAUCUGUAAUACCCCUAACCCAUAUCCUUUGCCAGAACAGGGUUACGAGCAUUACCAAAAUUUACAGAUCAAUUUUAGUCAUUUAAUAUCAUUUAAAUAUUCAUAUCAGAAUCUAAUCAUAAUCAAUCAUAUUGUCCCUUAUAUGAGCCCUCGAGGCCCAAAAUAUGUAUUAGAAACAAGUCGAGACUAAAUCGGGUACUCAAAGAAUUUUUCACCAAAUAUCAAAAAAAAUUUUAAGGUACAGGGGACACAUGCCCGUGUGGUCAGGCCGUGUGUCUCACAUGGUCAAGAGACACGCCUGUGUCUCAAGCCAUGUGGACAUUCGAAAUAGGGGCACACGGCUGUGUGUCUCACACAGUCAAGAGACACGUCUGUGUCUCAGGCCGUGUGGACAUUCAAAAUAGGGGCACAUGGCCGUGUCCCAGCCCGUGUCCAAAUUAGGGUGCUUACUGACUUGGGUUACACGGCCAAGCCACACGCCUGUGUGCUAGGCCGUGUGAGCAUACUAACUUGCAAUAAAUAGGUGCAGGGGUCACACGGCCAAGUCACACACCCGUGUGCUAGGCCAUGUGAAAAAUUUUGGGUAUUCUGUUUUGAAAUUUUAAAGAUGCACGGGACACACGGCUUAGCACAUGAGCGUGUGACUUGGCCGUGUGACCCAAGUCAGUAAGCACCCUAAUUUGGACAUGGGCAUGUGGCUUGACCGUGUGACCCAAGUCAGUAAGCACCCUAAUUUGGACACGGGCUGGGACACAACCGUGUGCCCCUAUUUCGAAUGUCCACACGGCCUGAGACACAUGCGUUUCUCUUGACCGUGUGAGACACACGGCCGUGUGCCCUUAUUUUGAAUGUCACAAAUAGCUGAGACACACGCCCAUGUCUCUGCCCAUGUGGACGAAAAUAGGUCAUUUCUAAGGCCACUUUUCUCACCCAAUUUGUCUUUUACCUACAUUAACACUUCAACACUUUCACCAUCCAAUGCAAGACAUUUAACUCAAGUCAAAACCAAGUUUAACACAUAUCAUAACACCCCAUAUGUCCAAGUAUUCAAUCUUACCUAGAUGACCAUAUAAAUAUAUAUGCAUAUUUCUCCAAUCAUGUUAUCUCAAACCAUUCAUCAAUAUACCCAUAAAUUAUCCAUUCUUAACCAUAUCAAACACAACUAACAUGAUAAGGACACACAUAUUUACAUAUCAAAAUAUGUCCAACUCAAGCCAUUCUAAUGGCUAUUUAACAACAAAAUAUUUUAAAGCCAAAAUUGGCCAAAUUACCCUAUACAUGCCAUUAUAACCAAAAUUAGUUUUCUAUAUAUACCGAAAUGGGCUGAUGGAUAGUGUGAGAUAUCUCCGCCAAGCUUCCAACCCAACGAGCUUUUAAAGUACUAUAAAAUAGAGGAAAUAAAACAGAGUAAACAUUUAAUGCUUAGUAAGUUUGUAUAACGGGAAAUUAACUUACCAUUCAUUUACAUUUAAGUAUACAAAAUACAUCCAAAGUAAAUUGGCUAAUAGCCCAAACACAUAACUUCAUCAAAUAUGUUAGUCAUUUAUUUCACAUGAAUAUCAAGAAACAUGUAUGAGCUCAUCAAAUAUCAAAUUUCCAUGUAUUCUGUGUAUAUAUAGAUAAUGAUUCACUUUGAAUUCAUAUAUUUUCUCAUAUAAGGAUUUUACCCGUUGAAUCAUUUAAAAUAUCGAUGGAUACACGGGUAGUACACAUGAAGUGUACAAAUCUGAAAUCCGUCAAUUCAUAUUCGGGAAUGCUCAUACAAGCACAUAAACGAGAAGCUCUUUCGAGCCAUAUAAUGGGAAGCUCAAGUGAGUCGUGUAACGGAAAGCUCUGGAGAGCCAUUAACGGGAAGUUCAAGCGAGCCAAUAUCGAGAAGCUCCGGAGAGCCAUUAAUCGGGAAGUUCAUGAGAGCCAGUUAUCGGGAUGCUUUGAAGAGCUAAUUAUCAAAAAGCUCAUAAGAGCCAUAAACGGGAAUCUCGUAAGAACCAUAUAAGGGGUAGCUUUGGAGAGCCAUAUAUCAGGACGCUCAUAAGAGUUGUGGUAUGUCCACAACAUAUGCAGGAUCACAACCAAUUAGGAUGCUCCGAAGAGCUAUUAACGAGAAACUCGUGAAAGCCAAAUAUCGAGACACUCGUAAGAGCUAUGGUGUGUCCACAACACAUGCAGGACCACAACCAAUUUAGGAACCCUGUAUCCAUCGAAUUUCAUUUGUACAAACGGAACUUAAUUCUUGUCAGACAUUGUCGGAUAUGUGAUUGAUUUUCAUAUAUGAAAAUUACAUAAUUCACAUACAUAACAUUCAAUUUAAACAUAUAAUUAUACAAUUUAGUUACACAAACUUACCUCGACAAUAUUCGUGAACUUGUAAGCUAUUAAUCCAAUACUUUUUCUUUACCUCAAUCUAGCUCUGUAUUAGGUCCAUCCGGAUCUAUACGAAUGAAUUUUAACAUCAAUUUAUAUUCAAUUCAAUUCAAUCCACAUCUUUGGAAAAAUUACCAUUUUGCCCCUAUAUUUUUAUUUAAUUACAAUUUCGUCCUAGGCUCGAAAAAAUGAAAUUCAUGCAAUCUAAUCCUUAUUCCAAGCCUAGCCAAUUUUUACAUAUAACAUUAACAUCCCAUGUAUUUCACAAAAUUUAGAAUUUUUCAUAAAUUUUACAUCUUUUUGAUUUAGUCCCUAAAUCAUAAUUUCAUCAAAAUUCCCUUUACAAAAGUUGUUUAUCUAUCAACAACCUUUCAAUUUCUACCAUAAAACUUCAUAAUUCAACUAUAUUCAUUCAUGGAAAAGCCCUAGUACUUUGAUAGCUUUGCAAAUUAUCCCCGAGAUAGCUAGAUUAAGCUAUUACGAUAUCAGAAAUAUAAAAAUCAUUAAAAACGAGACAAGAAUAGUAACCCAAUUGAGCCAAAUAAGCUUGCUAACUUCAAGCUCUUCUAACUAGGGUUUCCAUGUCUUUUAUUUGAGAAAGAUGAUAUAAAAUAAUGAUAUUAGAUUUUUAUUUUAUUUAUCAUCUUUUUUUAUUUACUUUCCAAUUUAGUCCUUUUCUUUAUUUAAUUUUCCAAGGAUGAAUCAUCAUACUUAUCUACUAACUCCUCCUAAUGGUCUAUUUGCCAUAUAAGGACCUCAAAUUUUGAAUUCCAUAGCUAUUUGACACCUAUAGCUAUUAGAACUCAACUUUUGCAUUUUUAUGCAAUUUGGUCUUUUUUUAUCAGAUUAGACAUGAAAUCAGUAAAAUUUCUUUACAAAAUUUUCCUACAAUAUUCCUAUCAUACUAUAGACCAUAAAAUAAUAUUAAAAUAAAUUUUCUUCCGACCUCGGAUUUGUGGCCCCAAAACCACUAUUCUGAUUUUACUAAAAACGGGCUGUUACAAAAUCAAACGUGUAGCCACUAGUAACACCUAUUAACUUUUUUAACAUUCAAGCACUCAAAGAUUUUUAAAUUUUUGGUGCCAAGAAAUUUAUAAAAACCAAUUCAUCUUAUCUGGUAUGUUUUCUUUCCUAUUUUUUUUGGUAAAUUGUUUUAUGAAAAAAAAUUACUUCACAGUUUCUUUCAAACUAGAGUUUAUUUUCGUCCACUAUAUUGGUACCUGAGCCUAAUUCCAUUACUUUUUACUGACGUGGCAGCGCUAACCAUUCGCACACCGCAAUGUGUCACCCUGUUUGUACUUUUUCCUUUUUAUUUUUUUUCAUUUUCCCUCUAUUUUCUUUUCUUCUUUUACUUUUUCCUACCCUAGCCGCAAUGUCUAACAAGCAUUGUAAAAUCAAUAACAACUUUCAAUUCAAGCAAUAACACUGACAUGGAGGCAACAAUGCCUCAGCCGCCAUAGCAGUGGCAAGAGCCACAAAGCAAAUAAAAAUCUAAAAAAAUCUAGGAGAACGAAGUUGACAAGAGGCCGCCAUUCUCUCUUUGUCGUUUCUCUCUUUGGAUUCUGCUAAUGGCGAAGCCAAUGAGAGGUCAUCGUUCUCCUUCUGUCUCUGGCUUUGACUCCUCUUCCCUUUCUCGCUCAUGGUUUAGCCUUAAGAGGAUGCCUUCAACCAUGUUUUGGAGUCAAAGAACCGUCGAGGACGUUGAAAGUAGCGGAAUCUGACACCAAAACUUCAGAUUUGGCAGAGGGAGCAAGCUUAUAAGACUUUUUUACUCUGGUAAGCUCUUCGACCAACAAUGAUAGCAAAAUACUCAUUUCCUUCCUCUUGUAAGCACCAGCUUUAAUUUUUAAUGAUUUCACAUUUAAAGCUUCACAUCCAAAAUGAAUGAAACGUAAAACUUAGAAGAAAACUAAAGAGGGAGGAAAUGAGUCAUCCGGUGUUGUCGUUAGCUCACCGGAGGAGGCUAAACAAUGGCCUAGAAGUAGUGUAGAAGCAGAUGACUAGGGUAGGAAAAGAAAAAGAAAAAAAAAGGGAAGAAAAAAACAAAAGAAGAAAAAGGGAAAAUGAAAAAGAAUAAAAAAAGGUGCAAAUAGGUGACACGUGGCGACAUGCGAAUGGUCAGCGUUGCCACGUUAGUAAAAAAGUAACGGCGUUAGGCUCAAGUACCAAUAUAGUGAAUGGAAAAAAAGUUCGAGUACCAAUUUGGGACAAAAAAAAUCAUAAGUACCAAUAUGACAGAAGUGGACAAGUUUGGGAACCAAUUUUAUAUUUAAUCCUAUUCCUUAAAAAGAACGAACAUAUGUCUCGUAGACAAUACAACAAUGCAUACUAUUUUAAGGAUAAAAAAACAUUUUUAUUGUUCCGUAAUGAAACAAACUAAACUUUAGUAGUACAAAAUUAAUUUAAAGCUUCAGAAGAGCUAAUAUAAUGUUACCCUAUGUUCAAUAAGGCAAUGAAACACGUUAAUAUUAUGUAUUACAAAAUUAAUUCAAGGCUCUAGAAGAGUUAAUACGUUGUUAUCCGAACAAACAAAAUAAUGGUUAAUGUAUCAUGUUCUAGUCAGUCUCAAAAAAAUUAUUUUGUUUUAAAAUAUAUUCUCAUUGAUGGAUCUCAAAUUGAGAUUGUAUCUUAUAUUGAGAUUGUGAAUGAGAAAAAAAUAUUUAGUAUGAAUCACUCUUGCUAUAAAUAUCUACAUCUUUUGAUAGAGAAAGAUUAAGUUAUUGAAUUAUAUUAUGCACGAUACUUGGAUACCUAUCUUUAUUUUGAAAAUGAUAGAGAAAUAUUGAGUUUUGAUUGUCAAAGAUCCACUUGAACUGUGGAUUAAUUUAAGAGAAAUAUAUAACCAUCGAAAUAUGAUAAAUUUAUCUAAAGCUCGUUAUGAUUGGAUGUACUUGAAGUUACAAUAUUUUAAAUUUGUAAGUGGGUAUAACUUUUAAGUAUUUAUGAUGAGUUCUCAAUUAUGUUGGAAUAAUAUUACUAUUGAGAACUUAUUAGAGAAAACCUUUUCAACUGUUCGUGCUCAAAUGUGCUCCUACAUUAGCGAUACCAUGAAAAUAAAAUGUUUAAAGAUAUAUUAUGAAUUAAUGUCAUGUUUACUUAUGAUUGAUUUAAAUAACGAGUUAUUAAAUGAAAACAUUAAGCCUGUUGUAUUAGAUAUGCUCCAUUUUAUGAAGUGAAUGUAGCAAUAUAUAAAGAUGCAAUCUUUGAAGUGGAAAUGGUAAGUGGUUUUAUAAUAAUCGUAAAAAAGAUGGCCAUAAUAAUUCUUCUCACCACUAGGACUAGAAAAAUGAAGAUAAUGUGGAGACUGAUAAUAAGAUUACUGCUAAAAUUAAGUUUAGUGGUUUCAUCCUAUAUUCCAACUUUUAAUUGUUGUUCAUUUAUGAUAUGUUUAUACUACAGUUUGCUUAAUUUUGCACAUAUAUAUACAAAUGAAAAUUUGUUUGUGCGAAUUUUGAAAAUUGAUAGAUUUCAUUUGCAAUAUAAAUGCACAUGGUUUAGGCUAUGAUUUUAUUGUAUUGAGUUUAAUGUUUUAUAUUUGGAUGCUUCAAAGACAAAAUUUAUAAUUACCUCUCAACUUAUUAAUUUGGUGUUUUCUUCAAUACAAUACUAGUAUAUCUACUUGUAUGGUCAAAUCACAUGUAAUGGUAAACUAGAAGUUUAUCUUAGUAUUGUUGAAUCACGUGCAUAGUAAAUCAAAGUUAUUAUUAGUCCAAAUAUACUAAUUAAUUGACAUGAUCGGUUAGACCAUCUCAAUAAAUAAUGAUACGCCAAAAUAAGAAUUUAGAUGAAAGUUUAUUAAGGAACUCGAAGAUUCUUUGUUUUAAAGAUUUUUCAAGUGUUGUUUUUUUCUCAAAGAACAUGAAUUAUUAGAACCUCUCUAAUAAAAGUUGAGAUUGAAUCUCUAGUAUUUCUGAAAGAAAUAUGGGCUCAUUUAUCUAAUAAGUGGAUGUUUUGACAUAAUUUUGGUAGAUGCAUAUACAAGUUAAUCUCAUGUGAGUUAUUAACUUGCAACUUGUAGUUUGCGAGAUUACUUGUUUAAUGGUUUGUUUAAGAACAAAACUUUAAGAAAUGCAAUCGAGAUAAUUUUUGCUAACGUUGGUAAGUUUAUUUCUCAGGCUUUCAAUGAUUAUUGAAUGUUAGAUUUUUAGUGCGAGUAACAAUCGCAAAAGAUCUGUUGUUUAUACGUAUGGUUUAGCAAAAUUUAUGAAGUAAAUGUCUCUAACUAGUAACUAAAUCAUAUCUUUUGAGAACAAAACUUUUGUAUAUAAAUAAGGAUAUGAUAUUUUACAUGAAGCGUCACUUGUACGUAUCAUGCCAAUAAAUUAUGCUAAAAACUCCCCAUUACAAUUGGCUUUUGGUGAAGAUCCAAAUAUAACCCAUUUUAAAAUUAGAAGUUUUUAAUGUGCGUAUAUGUUUAAGUUGCUCCACUACAAUGCGCAAAUAAGUAUUUAAAGAAUGUUGGGAAUAUAUAUUAAUUAUAUAUCUUCUUGUAUUAUUAGAUGUUAUGAAUGAAUUAGAGAUUUAAUUAUGAUACGAGUUUAUUACUAUUUUGAUUUGACAAUUUUUUUAAUAUCAAGGAGAGCGAAAUAAUAGCUGGAUGAAAUAAUUACUUGGAAAGAAUUAUCAUUAUAUAGAUUCUCGUAGAAAGUAAUUUGAACUAGAAGUUUAAAAAGGAUAAUUCAUUUUAUAGCAAGUUAACCGUUAGAUGAAUUUAUUGACCUGAUGAGAAUAAUCAAGUGUUAUAUACCAACAAAUGUUUUUAUUUGAACCAAAGUCUCAUUAGAACAAUCUGCUAGAAUAAUUGAAAAUAAUGCACGCUUGAAGUAUGGUAAACCUAUUGGUUUCAAAUAUGAAAAUUCUUGCAAAAAAAAAAUCAAUAUGGUUAAUAAUGGAGGCGGGUGCUCCUGAAGAGACUCAAGACAUAACUAAUUAUUUAAAAUCUAAAUAUGAAAACAAUGAAAAAAAAAGAGAUCUCAAUAAGUUAUGUCAAUACGAGAAAGUAUAGAAUCGUGGAAAAUAGAAAAUUGUCGAUAAUGAUUUUGCAUGCAAUAUUAUUGUUGAGACAAUGAGGAGAUGCAAUAUUAUUGUUGAGACAAUGAGGGGGAUCUUGAAUAAAAUUGUCAAGAAACAUAGACAUGUGUAGAUUGGCCAAAAAAAAAAACAAAAAACAAAAACGCAAUUCAUGUAGUAUUAAAUUUGUGAAGUUUGUGGACCAGUAGUCCAAACAUUUAAAUGUAGAAAGUUAGUGGGGUUCAAAUUAUGAGAAGAUAUAAUAUUCUUUUGUGGUUGAUGCAAUAACUUAUAUAUAUAUAUAUUAUUAAGUCUAGCAAAUUAUGAAAUAUUUGACAUGGGUCUUAUGAUUGUUGUUACAAUAUUUAUGCGAAUCACUAUAUAGUGGAAGUUUAUAUUAAACUCCUUGAAGGAUUUAGAACACUGGAAGUAUAUAGAAAUUCUCAGGAAAUUAUUUGAUACAUUUGAGUAAAUAUUUAUAUGAAUUAAAUUGAUUUGAACAUAUGUGAUAAAUUCGACUUAGUGAAUAAUAGUUAAAGUAAGAUUAUAAUCCAACUUUAGCAUGUAUAGAGGGAUCAUGAUCAAAGUUUACUAAGAUUAUUGUUGGAACUCUUGAAGAUAUUAAAAUAUGCUUCCCCAAAAGUAUUCAUCACUCGUAACUUUCAGAAGAAUGAUAAUAUAAAUAUUUAAUAUACGAUCAUAAUUUAGAGAGAUUUAAAGUUUUCUAGAGAUGUUUGAUAUUUUGGAUUUUGAUUUAGUAUAAAUAUAUUUUAUCUUGCAUACUUAUAAAAUUUUCCUUAAGAGUACGUCGCAUUGUUCUGUUCCGAAUUCUUGAAACAAAAAUAAAAAAAAGAUGAAGAAAAGAAUGUUUGGAGGAAUAUUUUGGUUUAAAUAUAAAAUAAGAGAUAAAAGCAUUCUGCCUUGGAAGGGGAAGUUGCAUUGAUACGAUGGGCUUGGGAGAACUCAAAUCUCCCAACAUGUGAAACAAAAUGGUUUGUAAAUAAGACAAAUUAAUGCACCAAAUCGUAAAAUAUAGUCCUACGUAUAUAGCCAUAUAUUGGAGAAUAUAGCAAAAGCAUGAUCGUCAUUCGUCUCUUUCUGUAUGAAAACUGCGACUCAAAUAUCAAUCUCUCUGGUCCCGAUGGGGUAUCGGCUUUGCUUUUGCCAGCUGUAAUCAACAACGUUUCGCUUCUCCUGGUUUUAAAUUCGAAAUUCAGCAAACAUACAUACAUACAUAAUGUUCAUGAAAGAAUAUUUCGCAAUGGAAACAGAGACCAAAUAACUUAAAAGAGGAGAGAUACUUGCAACUUUGGUUCCACUUCCCAGAAGAGAGAAAGAAGCUAUACAUACAUACAUGGAUAUAACCCCCACCAUAGCCACAGAGGUUGAUUUAUAUAAUAUAAAUUAGCAUGAUACCAAAACAUGCUCCCCAUUUCCAUUAAUGUGGGCAAAUUACAUGGAAAGGAAAACCGAACCUCCACUGUACGCACGUCUUCAUAGCUUAACAACAAAAUCUAAAGCGCAGUUGUGGACCAAAACAAAAGAUCCUUUCCUUUUUCCAAAAACGCAUAACUAAACUCUAAGCAGGUAAACACUGAGCUCAGGGCCUCCGGAACCAUCAGGAUUCAUCAUGUAAAAGGCUUCCGAGUCUUUAGACCCAACAACCCUCUCGAACUUGGCUCUCAUGUACAUCAGCUCACCUUCGGACCCAGCUCCAUUGUCAUUGCAGUUUCCUGGUAGCACACCCGCACCCAUUGAAAUUGGCUCCACCGCCUUUAACACUUUCCACUCUUCGGCUCCGCACUCGCGCCUCAUUGCGAACCCACAUUUCUUUCCAUUGCAGUAAGUCCUCCAAACAGGCUCAUUCAGCAACUUCACCCCUUUCUUCCCCAUCGUCUUUUCACACUCUAAGGCAAUUCGAACCAAUCCAGAAGCCAUUUCCCGAACUAAAACACUAGUCGGUGUUGCAAGUUGGAUUAAAAAUGCUGGACUUACUUUUGCUUCUUCUUGAAAUGCAAAGUGGACGUGACCACGCCGAUAUCCAAACAGGGUUCCUACCACUCUGGUGCCUAAACCUGAACGAUAUGCUGAUGUAUUCUUCCCAAACACACUGAGAGCCGACCGAAGUCUGGAAACUGACACAAUUGGAAGCUUCUUUCUUGGUGGUGGAACUAAAGAAACUCGACUGGCCACUGGGAUUCGGAGCUCCUCUGCUUCCUUAGCUUCCUCACAAAAAUGCGAGGAGGAGCUGAAGGUUAGGAUUUCUUCCUCGUUGUCAUCAUCAUCUUCCACCUUCUUUUUCCAGUUGAAAUAUCUCCUGGAGAAGGAGAAAGAAGAAUCGUGGGGGCUCUUGGCUGUGAUUGUCUUCAUAUGGGAAGGAAAGAAAGAAGGAACUAAGCAACUCCUAGAGCCUUUGAUAGUCAAGUUUCGGUGAGUAAAGAGAGAAACAGGUAUAUAUAAAUAAAAGAGUGUGACUAUGUAUCUAUUAACUUUUCAGUAGUUGUGGGGUGGAUUUAUUCUUUGCGUCUUAAUGCCUUUUUUGUCAGCAUUGUAGGAUUGAGGGGGGACUUGCAAGGAAAUCCUGACAAGGGAGGUUGAGCAGCCCCACCUAACUGUAACAGUAGUAAAAAAAAAAAAAAAUAUAUAUAUAUAUAUAUAUAUAUAUAUAUAUAUAUAUAAAAGAAGAUGGAGAAGCUAAUAGAGAGAGAAAGAGACUUGAAAACAAGUAGAGGAGAAUAGCGGGAAUCUGAGGAGACAAUAGCUGAGUGUGAUUUCUUUUUCAUGUGGGGGAAGAAUAGGCUGAAAAUAAGGGCAGUGUGGGGUAAAGACCAGAGAGUGAAAAGGAGAAUUGACUGUCUACUCUGACUUGCAUUGGAAAGUGUUAAAAGGAUAGGUAAAACCACACCAACCUUACCCACCAUCUCCAGUAUUCCACCUUUGGGUUCUUUCAGCUCCUGUCUUCAUUUGCAAUUGCAAUACAACAGUAGCCCGCCGUAGCCCCAACCUCAAUCCCCCUUCUAUUCUAUGCUAAUGCUACCACCUAUAACUUAUGAUCCAGCCAGACUCCGUGUUUUGCAUCCUUUAAUGUCUUUUUCUGAAUUUGAAAAAAUGAUUAGCCCGACUCGCUGUUUCAAAUAAAGCAGCUGGCGCAUGGUCUUUAUCGAUUCAGCAUUGUCUACGCUCUGUCUAGGUUAAAGCUAACUCUUCUUUUACCUUUUAAUUCUCAGUCCACAUAUCAUUACAAUUAUUCCUUCCUUUCAAAUUUUCAAUACCAUCUGGAAAUAAAAAAUAGUGUAUAUAAUACUCCACAGAACAGAACUAAUACUACGAAUAUUAUAAUUCUAUUUUGUUGUUUAAUAUAAAAAUAUUGAAAAAGGUAGAAUAUGGAACUUGAUGUAAUGCUGCCAAACCAUCACCCACUAGCAAAUUAGCAGAUAUCAGGUCUCCAGAAAGCAAACGAAAGGAAGCUCCUAUGAUUUGUUAAGUUGUAUGGUGGAGUAUCAAAUGUCAAAAAAGUUUGAACCUACUCAUAAUGACUAUUGUGACCAUUGAGCCAAUAAAUUUCAUGCAAAAGAAUGAGCUAAGAAUAAGAUAGGUUACAACCAAGGCAACCAUCUUUUUUUGGUACAUAUGUUUGAAAUUUGAGCUUAAAAAACUGAUUUAGGGUUGUCUCUCUCCACUAUAGCCACAGACAGUCCUUAGGUUAGGGUCAAGACCGGUUGAAUUUUGGAUCACCAUGAUUAAGUCCCAUCCACAUGCAAAUUGUUAGAAAAUGGCUUGUUUAACCUUUUUUUUCUAAUUUAUGGGACCGACCUAAUUCACGGACCAACUAACCAGGAUCCCAUCAAGAUCCUUAAGUUGAAGUUGACCUAAUUAAAUCUGAAGUAUGAAGGUUUUUCCUGUACCACCCCUAACCACUUUAUUUAGAUAUAUAUAAAAUGAUCUUACUCAACAGCUUAGGAAGUCAAAGUUUAAGCAACAAAUAAUGCAUUAAAUGUAGUAUAAAUUAACAAUACAAAAAAAAGAAAAGAAAAAAAAACAGAGACCUAUGUGGAUAGAUGACCAACCAAAAGGUCUUGAGCAUAAGCCAUGAGGAUAAUUUAUCAAUCAAAGCAGGAGAAAAUAGGUCACUAGCCAAAGAUGUAAAACGUUCAGCAGAGACGGAAGCCAGAUGGGCUGACCGGGUCCUAAUCAGCUGCUCCAAUUAGUGAAUUCGAAAUUUAUAAUGCUUACCUUAAUAUGUACAUCCAAUUCAAUUACCUAAGAAAUAAUCAAAUGUAUAAUUGGCGGCCUCUCAAAUUUUUUUUUAAAUAUCCUAAGUUACAUUAUGAAAUAGGAAAUUUGAUAUUAUAUUUAGUGCAUUAUUAGUGGAAAAAAAAUUCCACAAACUCGAGUUAAAUCAUUAUAAGUGUUCUUUGAAUUAUAUUUAAAAUUUAAUCAUCUUAAAUAAUAACCUUAUAUAUUUGAUAAAAUUUUUGGUAUAACCCUCAUUGAUAUUAAUAUAUAUUAGUUAAAUUCUUUUCUUCAAUUUUUAAUGAAUGUAUAUUUAUAUUAAUUAUUAAAUUAAUAUUAUUCAUUCCAAACAAAAAAGUAAACAUUAUAAUAUUAUACAACGAUGAGUAUUUGGUAUAUUGGCGAUAUGUUUUUUUUUUAUAUUUCACAAGUAAUCUUAAAAAAUUAGCAUGUUUUUCUUUUUCAUUUAAACAUUUAUAUUUUUAAUAUUUUACUAUACUCUUAUAGGACAUUGUCAAUCCCCUUAUCUUACUUGUGAAAUAUAAAAACUCUAGUAGUAGUGUGUCAAAUAAUCUCCCGUUGUACAAGUCUUAUGUUUUUUAUUGUGAUAUUAAAUAUUUAUAUAUUAAUUGUAUUAAAUUUUUUGAAAGGAUUUUAAUUUUACUUUUUUGAAGGAUAAUUUUGCAAGAAAACUUGGAGUUUGUUUUUGCAAAUUUGAAAUCUUUGUGAUAAAAAUAUAUAAGAUUUUGUAAAAAUAAAUACAAAAUUAUAAAAAUAUUUAUAAAUAAAUAUUGCUUUUCUCAUUUUCUAACAUGAAAUUUAUUUAUUAAAAUAACAAUUUUAUAAAUAAAAUCAUAAUCUUAUAAAUAAAAUAAUUUAAGGGAAAACAAACCAUGAAGAAGACUUGCGCAUAUUCAACAUUUUCAUUUUUUCAAUAUUAACAACUGUCAUAUUCAAGUUGGGUCAACAACUGUAAUUUGAGGUCGAAAAGGGGUGAGAAAUGAUGUCUUUAGGUUGUUCAAAAUGGAUUUGUUGCGUUUGAGGUUGUGCUUGAGGGUGGACAUUAUUGAUGGGUGUAUAGGUGAGGAUGAAGUUUUGGAGACCCAUUACGUGGAAGGCUGUAAUGGCCCAAAUUCAAAGUUAUCGGAAUAGUGGUUUCGUAACCACAAAUCCGAUUUAAAGAUAAAUUUAUUUUAAUAUUUUUGCAUGAAUAUUGAUAUGAUAGGAAAAUCGUAUGAAAAUAUUGAUAGAAAAAUUUUACCGAUUUAGUGGUUAGUUAGAAAAAGAAAUUAUUGAAGAAAUUGGGUAAAAAUAAGGUAUCGAGACUUUGAUCUCGUAAAACCGAGUCAAAAAUAAUUUUAUAAAUAAUUAUGAAAUAUUAGUAAUAUGGUAUAAAAAUUUCGUUAGAAAAUUUUAAUGUUUGGAUAGUCAAUUACGUAAAAAGGACUAGAUUGAAAAGGUGUAAAAGUUACUAGAAGGAUUAAAUAGUUCAAUUGUUAUAUGAGGAGGGACAUAAAUUGCAAAUAAUCCCAAAAGAAGAUAUUUUGGGCGGCAUACGUUGAGAAAAAUCAGGAGAAUUGAAGAAUUAAGGGUAAAAUUGGAAUAUUGCAAAAAUUGCUUUAAAAGUUAGGACUAAAGUGGAAUAUCUAGAAUUCUCUUCAUAUUUUCUGCAUUCUCAUCAGCCAAAAACGUCCCAAGGGUUUCUUCAAGCUGGUUUUUCAUAAUUUUUUCACCAAUUGAGUUAAUGCUUUCCUUUUUCUUGUAAUCUUUGUGUUUCUAAGACUUUUACAACUAGGUCCUAUUACUAAAUUCAUUAGCUUUUGAUUUUAUGAAUGAAAUGGAAAGUUGCUAUGAAUAUGUGCUGGAAUUUUAUGAUGAAAUAGGAUAAAAGUGAAGCUUUAAUUUGUUUAUGAGAUGAUUUUAUUAGGUGAUUUCAAUAGAAAUUGAUUUGUAGGACCUAAUUGUGAAAAAAUUUGGAAUUAAAGUCUAAUGCUAAAAUUAUGAUUUCAAAAGGUUAUAAAGUAGUUUAAAGUGAUGGAAUAAUGUGUUAAUUUAGGAAAAAUCAGCUCAAUUGAGAGGUUAAUUGAGCAAGGAUGAAAUUGUCAUUUAUUGAAAGUUUAGGGAAAAAUGGUAAUUAACCUCAUGCACUAAAACAGUUUGGACAGCAGCAGUAGGUUAACUUUGAAAAAUCACCAAAAAUUUUAGAAAUUGAAUUAGAGGAUUAAUAAAAUAUUAAAUUAAAGCUUAUUGAGUCUAGUUUCUUAUAAAAGAAAUGGUGUAAGCAAUGGAAUUGUAAAUCAUGAGAUAUAAUAGGUUUUGUGAGACAAGGUCAGAAUGAAUUCGGGUUCCCCUGUUCUGACUUUGGAAAAAUCAUUAAAAAUUGUACAAAAAUUAUUAUGAGUUAUACUUUAUAUCGUUAGAAUACUUAAUGAGUCUAUUUUCAGAAGAAACAAACAGAAACAUCAUCCGAAUUCUGUACAAUGAGAUAAUUAAUUUUUAGUGAAGAGGGGUUGGAACUGUCAACAAGUGAAAUAGGGGAAACUUUAAAGAAUAAAAUGUACUUAUUUGCUAGGAAAAAAAUUCUGAAAAUUUUAUGGUAAGAGGAUAUGCGAGUCUAGUUUCAGGGAAAAUUAACGGAUCUUAAUUUGGAGUUCCGUAGCUCAAGAUAUAAAUAAUUUAGUAACUGUGACUUAGUAAGACAGCUUUGAAUGCACUAUAAAUAAUAAUGGAAUUUUAGAGAAUGUUACAUAUGAACAUGAAAUGUAUUAGAUUAAUGAUUAAAUUUAUUUAUUUAGAUCCGGAAAAUUCAAAUACGAAGCUAGAUCGAGGAAAAGAAAAAGUUCGGGAUUAGUAGAUUUUUAUUUACGAACAAGUAUCGAGGUAAGUUCGUGUAACUUGAAUUAUAUUCAUAAAUGCUUGAAAUGUUUGUUAUUGAUGUGAAUAUGAUUUGGAUGUUUAUUGUAUGAUAACUGAUGAAGUAUUGAUAUUCUUGAUGAAAAGAGGAAAUAAAUCCCGGUUGAAUGAAAGGAAAAUUCGAUGGAUCUCUGAAAAAGAAUUGACGGUAAAAAGGAUCUAGCUCGGACGGGUGAUCCUAUCCUAAUAUAGCCCUCCCGAAGAAUAUGUGGAAAAUGAAUUUAGCCCGAACGGGUAAUCCAAAUUAGGGUCUGAAUUUAGCCUGGACUGGUAAUUCAGAUCCAAGCUCAUUAGAGUAAUUGUCAUUGCAGGGGAUUUAGCCUGGACUGGUAAUCCCGACAAUACUCUGUGAGUUUAUAUUACAGGGGAUUUAGCCUGGACUGGUAAUCCUGCUGUAAGGAUGAGGUUCGCGGGAGUGUGCUCUCUGAAAUGGAAAUGUGCGCACAUGAAUAUGAAUUGACGGACCCGAAAUUGUACACUAAAGUGUACCUCAGAAAAACCAUCGAAAUUUCAAGUAGUUCAACGGGGUAAAUAUGGAAAAAUAACAAGGAAAUGGAAAUCAUGGUAUUGAUGAGCUCAUCAAUCAUGGUAUAAAUUAUUGAUACAUGAAAAUUAUUGGACUAAUUUGAAUGUUGAGUUUGUGCAUGAUAGGGGAAUAAUGUAUGGAAUGGGUGUAUAUAUGUUUAUUACAUUGUAUGGAAAAUAUUAGGUAAGUAUAAUUCUUGUUACAUGAGCUUACUAAGCACAAUGUGCUUAUCCUGUUUCUUUUUCCCCUGUUUUGAAGUGUUAAGAGCUCGGAGGUCGGAUUUGGUUGGAGAAGCAUCACACUAUCAACCUCAAGAUCUCGGUACAUAAAGAAACUUAUUUUGGAAAUCAAUGGCAUGUAUAAGCUAGUAAAGUAGAUGUUAAUGUGGAAUGAAUGUAUGGUUAACCAUUGGUAUGGCUAACAAAUUUUGGUUUUGGCAUGUGAUGAGAUUAUCUUAUGAAUACAAUAAAUCUAUCUUGAAAAUAUGUUGAAAUUGAUUGGUUGUGUUGGCUUGGUCUCGGUUUAAAAUUUGCAAGGAGGAUUAGAUAUUUAUAAAGGGGUUAUAUUGAGUUUAAAAAAAAAUCAGUAAAAUCUGGUAAUACCUCGUAUCCUAUUCUGGCGGCGGAUACGGGUAAGGGGUGUUACAAAGGCCAUGAUGACAACUCCACAACCAACUAGUUCAAUGGCGUAGUGAUAGAUGACAUGAAAAUCGAAGAGUUCAGAGUAAUAAGGAUUAUUGGUGCCAGUGAUUGUGAAUGAAGGCGGUGUCCAACAUUCGGAAAAUUUGAUGAAGACUAAGGAAUAAGGUAAUAAGUCGACCCAAAGGUGAACAAGCCAUUAGAGGAACAGCCCCAACAAAAACAAUCCUUGCCAGAAGUAGUACGGAGCGGCAUUGCAAUAAUUUUAGAAGAGGUAUCUACAGGCAGGGGCAAAUCUAGAAUUUUUUUUAAGGGAGACUAGAGUUGAAUUAUAAAUUUUUUAAGAGUUCAAAAUAUAGUUUUAUCAUGUAUUAAUUUAUGAUUCAGGACUUAACAGAACUUUUUUCAUUGUUGAGGAGUGUCAAAGUACAAUUUAAGCAUAUAUAUAUAUAUUUGAGGAGCCUGUCUACAUGUAAAUCAGAAGGGAUGAGAUUAGGAAUGGUAAGUAUCUGACUCUCAAGUGUUAGGAAAUGCUUUAAAUAGAUGUCUAGGCCUAAAAAUAUCAUGGAGUAGGUAGUUAUUUAUUUAUAUUUAAAUGAUGUUUUUGGUUUUACACUACACCAGAACAAGUUUUUAGCGGCGUUUUUUAGGCCUUUAGCGGCGCUUUUUAACGCAACUAAAGGUAUUUGCGGCGCUUGAGGAAGCGCCACAAAAAAUGCCGCUACGGAUAACGUCACUAACUUUUGCGGUGCUUACAAAAAAAAACGCCGCUAAAGGUCAUGUUUUUUAGCGGCGCUUAGGAAAAAAACGCUGCUAAAAGUAAUGUUCUAUAGCGGCGCUUAAUAAAAAACGUCGCUAAAAGUAAUGUUCUAUAGCGGCGCUUGGUAGAAAACGCCGCUAAAAGUAAUGUUCUUUAGCGGCGUUUCAUCUACAAACGCAGCUAAAAGUAGUGUUCUUUCGCGACGCUUAUUUCACAAACGCCACUAUAUGAUAUGACUUUUAGCGGCGCUUUUUUAAAAAACGCCACUAAUUUUGGGAUUUUUUUAAAAUAAAAUUUUCUGUUUUUUUAGUCCUCCUGCAACAACAAAUCAAAAGCAGCCAUAUCUAAACUAACCAAAAACAAUAAAUUUAUAUAAUAUUUCAAAUUAAAUGACUAAAAUAAUAUUAAUAUUAAUAAAUAAAAGUGAAUUCAUACUUUUCUUUACAAAAAUGUUAAAAGUUAAAAUGAUAAAAAAUAUUUAUGCAAUAUACAUUAUGACGGCGGAAGUUGCGACUGCUGAAACAUCUUCAUCAUAAUCUGAAGCUGCUGUUGAAGUUCGUUGUACUUUUUGCUCUGCUCUGCUUCUCUCGAUGCCGCAUCUGCUUGAAGUCGUAGCUGUAGUUGUUCAUAUUUCUUUUGAACCUCUGCUUCUCUCGCUGCUUCUCUCGCUGCGGCCUCUGCUUCUCUCGCUGUAGCCUCUGCUUCCCUCGCUGCCGCCUCUGUUUUAAGUUGUUGCUGAAGUUCUUCAUAUUUCCUUUGAACCUCAAAUGUGGUCGCUUGCAUCUGAGCCAUCUGGUCUUUUAACCUCUGAACUUCAACUUGAGAUUGACUCCCCGAAGCCAUGUAUUGGUGCGAGUUGGAUCCAAAAUAUUGGGUUGGGCUGAUAAAAGAUCCUUGAAAUCGAACCUGACCAUACCUUUCAGGACCCAAAACUUCAGUAAUAAUCCGGUUAUCAAUGUCUUCAAGAUGAACAGAACUAUCACUAGAAGCAAUCGCUUCGUACUCCGUCUUUUUAUCCUUUAGUUUGUCCUAAUAAAUAAAUCACAUAGUUAGGAACGCAAUAUAUAUUAAAAAAAACAAAUGCAAUAUAACAAUAGUCGCAUUACAAGCAAUAAAUUAAACCAUUAGAAAAUAAACACUAUAAAUAACUAAAACAAGUCAAAUCGUAUUAAGUAAACGUACCAUAAUUUCACCAGCUUCAGGAGUCAUNNNNNNNNNNNNNNNNNNNNNNNNNNNNNNNNNNNNNNNNNNNNNNNNNNNNNNNNNNNNNNNNNNNNNNNNNNNNNNNNNNNNNNNNNNNNNNNNNNNNUCUUCUUAUGUGUAAUUUCAAAAAGUUGAAGGCGUCCAACUUUUUGACUGGACGAUCGUUCCUACAAUAUAGUAGUAAAAAUAUUAUUUAAUAGAAAGUUAUACAUAUUUGAGAAUAUUAAAAAAUUAAAAAUACCUCCGCCUCAGCUACACAUGCAAAACUUCUCGACCCGGCUGUGUGAGUGAAUUUUUGUUGUUGCCGGCUGCUUUUUCCAACUCGUUCACGAUCCUACGUUAUAAAAUUUUUAGUACGUAAAUAGUAAAUACUAUAAACCAAAAUAAUUACAAUAGUUUGGAAGUACGUCGUACCUCGCCUUUCUUCGAAUGCCAAAAUCUAACCGCAUCUUCCAAUUGGUACCUCAACAUACCCGGUGGGACAUUUUGCAAUUUCUCGUCGAGGGUUGUUUUUGUCUUAUAAUAAUUUUUCUUCAAAGUACUUUUAUUGUAUCUCCAUCUUUUUCCCAAUGCCUUCUUUACAUAAGCAUCCGAGACCUCUAAAGCAAACCUCGCCUACAAAAAACACAAGUUAAUAAAGUAAAUAUAAAUGAAACUAUUUCCCAAGCAUUACAGAUGACAUUAACAUUUUGUUACCUUAAUAUUAUCGAGGACUUGGUUUUUGUUGCUAUCGGGCAUUUGACGCCAUGACUCGUAGUUCAUAGGCAACAUAUUCGCAUUUCGUGCUAAAAUGCUCAUGUAUCCUGCUAAAAGUCGAGCUUCUGAUCCAACAGGCUGACCAAAACUGUUUCUGCAUACCUUGACACGCUCGAUUGGAUCUAACUUGUAUAACUCUCUGAGUAGCGUACGUCUUCGACCACUUCUACAAAUGGUAUAUUAUAAUAUAAGAAUUUGAAAAAUAAAUCAAUUAUAAGUCAACACGCAUGUAAAUUAAAUGUAAAAUUACUUUGAACUUCCGUAGGAUCCUCAGGUGUAAUCGGAACAUUCGAAGAUCCAAUUCCUGUCUGUUGUUCAGUACUAUUUGUUUCUGUCGAGUUUAGAUCAUUUUGAACAAUACUUUCCCUUAGAAAUUAGAGAUAUGUACCUUUUAAUCGAGAUUGAAUUUUCAUAUAUUGAAAUAUUAAAUCUUCGGUUAAAUUUGUUAUCAUUGUUAGAGAUUAGAGAUAUGUAAAUUGGAGGGCUAAAUUUAUUAUUAGAUCAAUAAAAAAGUCUCGUGUCAGCUUUUCAUCUCUCAUUUAACAACAAUUAAUCGCAUUUCGUGCUAAAAUAUUUAAUUUCAAAAAUUUUAGUGAUUAAAUAAAAGAAUUAAUAGUUGAAUGAUUAAAAUAGGACUAAUAGAUUAGUCACUAUUUUUAUACUUUACAAAAAAAUCUAACACACUGUAGCUUUUCCUAGGACACUUUUAUUCUGUCGGCAUUUUGAAAGCAAAGCUCCUUAGCAAAAACAAAAAUUAUGCAAUAACAUUUUGGACCAAAGACAUAUAAUAUAUUUGGAUACAAUUAAUUUAGACCAAUUAAUUUUUUACGUCUAGCACCAAAGACAUAUAAUAUAUUUGGAUACAAUUAUUUUCAAAUUUGAGUACUUUUAAGUAUUCAAAAGGAUGAAAACCCAAAUCUAAACAUUUUGGACCAAAAGAAAAAAUUUAGAUAGAAAUCAUUUUCCUCCUAAAUAUGUCAAUUGUGAGCUCAGGGCAUGGGCUGAUUUGAUUUAAAAACAUAAAUAGUUUUACCAAAUUUUACAACUUUUGGUAACAAAAACUUUAUUCACAAAACUCAACAUGAAACCAUUUCUCCUCUAUGAUUGUGAAGAGGAAAUAAAUAGGAAACUUUCUUUCCAUGAUAAAUUGAAAAUUCCAAUGAAUGAUCUCAUCGAAAAGGAAAUUAUGCAAUAACAUGAUUCAAAAGCAAAUUUGCAGGAGUAUAAAAUAUUUAAUGUAUUUGUAUCAAUUGAACAUAAAUUUAAUUUAAGGAAGAGAAUAAAAGUAAAAAAUAACAAUCAUGAAACUGAACAUAUAUAGAGAAGAAAUGUAAUAUAAUACCUGUUAGAGAAUUAUAAGAUAAAUAAAGAUAUUUCAACUGUGGUAGAUUACCAAAUUAUUGUGGAAUUACACCUACACAACAAAAAUAAUUUAUUAAACAAAUAUAUGUAUUUUAUUUUACUUUUUAAAAAUCAAAUUUAAAGGUGAAGGCUUAAUAGUCUAAAUUUUAUAAGCACCAAAUGGAUUUUGUAAUUUAGACCAAUUAAUUUUUUUAUGUCUAGCACCAAAGACAUAUAAUAUAUUUGGAUACAAGCUUCAUCAAAUAUGAGUACUUUUAACAGUAAAUAAUUUUGGAUUCAGUUCUAAAAAUACAAUUUCACAUCAAAUAUUGAAUAUACAUUUCUAAUUAUAGUUUUUCUUUACUAAAAUGCUUCUAAUUUUCAAAUAAUGAAAAAUAUUGUAAACAUAUUUCAACAAAACAGCAAACUUACCUAAAUACGAGUAGUAAGAAAUGCACCCAAAAUUCCAAAAAUAACGAAUUAAAAGCAGUACUAUAAAUAGGAGCAGUAAGAAAUGCACCAAAAAUUCCAAGCCAUUCAAAUGUUGAUAAAUGACCAAAUCAGCAAACUUACCUAAAUACGAGCAGUAACAAAUGGUUACUGUUGCUGUUUGAAGGGUUACUGUUGCUGCAAACUAACAACACCCAAUUACUUCUGCAUUGUUUGGGGACGGUCGCAAAAGAAGACAACAUCAAUGUUUUGUAUUACAACCAAGCAGACGAGGCAUAAAGUAAAAAAAAAAAAUUAAAUUUUUCCCACACUAAAAAUAUAACUUACCAGUGGUUGCGAGAGCAGAGGGCGACGGUGACGGUGAUGCAGUAGAUGAGACGGUGAUGGUGAUGAAGCAGACAACGGUCAUGGUCACGGCGAAGCUGGUCGGGUUUGGGGGGAUUAGGGGUUGAGGAAGCUAGGGAUUUCGGCUAAACAAUUGGGGGAAAGUACUGAAGAAGAAUCGGGGUUUGCCUGGUUAAAAGGGCUGGAAAGAAAACGACGUCGUUUCCACAGAUAAAUGAACCCACUAAUAGCGGCGUUUGUAAAUAAGCGCCACAAAAUAUCCACAGAAACGAAGUCGUUUCAGGAACAGACAGUCAAAUUUGUGGCGUUUUGGCAAAAAACGCCACUCACAACAUUGAAAAACGACGACGUUUUCAAUGACUAAACUAACAAAUUUACGGCGUUUCUAAAUAAGUGUCACUAAAGAAACCCGAAAACGAUGACGUUUCCCAAACAGUUAUGACAAAAUUAACCCAUUUGCGGUGUUUAUUCCAAAGCGCCACAAAAUAAAAUUACAAACGAUGUCGUUCCUCAGCCAGUUAGUCAAAUUUGUGGCGUUUAGGCAUAAGCGCCACUCAAUUAACAGUGACUAAACGACUAACUUUGCGGCGUUUACACAAAAGCGCCACUAAAUUAACCGUCCAAAUGAUGUCGUUUUCCAAAAAAGUAGGACAAGUUUCUGGGGUUUUGGCACAAAACGCCACUAAGAACAUCGAAAAACGACGACGUAUUCAUGACUAAAUGAACCUAUUUGCGGCGUUUAUAACCUUUCGCCACUAAGUAACCACCGAAACGACGUCGUUUGCAACGAAAUAAAAACGAAACGCAAUCGUUUCCCUGGUAAUUAGGAUAAUUUUGAGGCGUUUUUUCGUGAAACGCCACUAAGAACAUGGAAAUUUUUAAAAAAUUAAGUUAAUUAUAUCAAUAUUUUUUUAUAUUUUUAUAUUUUUAUAUUUAAUAAACAUAAAUAUUUAUGUAUAUAUGUCAUAUUAAAUAAAAAAUUGAUGUUAAUUUUAUCAAUAACAUGUGUUAACAUUUUACAAGCUCUGUAUCAAAUUAAACGAAUUCAUGUAAACAAUUGAACAUUUAAUCAUUAUUCAUGUACGCUUUUGGGAUUUAGCCCAUUUUGGUAUAUAUUUGAAUUUUUUAAAUUGAUAAUUUAUAUAUAUCUUUUUAAUAUUCAGAAAAUAUAAAAAACUUAAAUUAAACCCUAAACCCUAAAUUAACCAUAAUUAAUCCUAAACCAUAUUUUUAGGAAUUCGUGUUGCUAAUGGUAGUGUGUAGUACAAAACAUAUAUUUUAACCUUAAAUUAUAAACUACAAACCGUUAACCACAAGCAUCAAGCCCUAAAACACUAAUUAACCUCUUAACAUGACUAAAGCGGUCUAAACCCCAAACUGUAAACUAUAAACUUCUAAACCCUAAACCCAAAAUACUAAAACGUACAUCAUAAACUCUAAACUCAAAACUCUAAUAUUCAAAAAAUAAUAAACAUUAUAUAAUGAUUAAACAUAAAACCCUAAACUAUAUACAAUAUUAAACUUUUUAACUUAUAAUAAUCAUUGAACCUUAAUCACCAAACUCUCAAACCCUAAACAAAAAACACUAAACCUAUAUUGUAAACCCUAAACCCUAAACUGUAAUUCAAAAAUAAUAAACAUUAUAUAAUAUCCUAUUUAUUCCUACAUUAUAUAAUAACAUAAAUUAUAUAAUAAACUACAUAUAUAAUAAUCUAGCGGCGCGUAAUAAUAUGUUUUAGCGGCGUUUUACCAUAAGCGCCACAACUGCUAGUAUACAUCAAGACCAAAGCGCUGCGUUUUGGUUAAUAUUUUGCGGCGCUUUACAAUAAGCGCCGCUAAUACUAUGCUUUAGCGGCGUUUUCAAAUAAGCUCCACUAAUCCUAAUGUACCUCAAGACCAAACUCUGCGUUUUGGUUAAGAAAUAUUGCGGCGCUUUUCAGUUCUCGCCGCUAAUACUAUACUUUAGCGGCGUUUUAAUAUAAGCGUCACUAAUGCUACUAUACAUCAAGACCAAAGCGCUGCGUUUUGGUUAAUCUUUUGCGGCGUUUUUCAAUAAGCGCCACUAAGCCUAAUAUACCGCAAGACCAAACUCUGCGUUUUGGUUAAGAAAUCUUGCGGCGCUUUUCACUACUCGCCGCUAAUACUAUAAUUUAGUGGCGUUUUAAUAUAAGCGCCACUACUGCUAGUAUACAUCAAGACCAAAGCGCUGCGUUUUGGUUAAUAUUUUGCGGCGCUUUACAAUAAGCGCCGCUAAUACUAUGCUUUAGCGGCAUUUUCCGAUAAGCGCCACUAAUCCUAAUAUACCUUAAGACCAAACUCUGCGUUUUGGUUAAGAAAUAUUGCGACGCUUUUCACUACUCACCGCUAAUAUUAUUCUUUAGCGGCGUUUUUGUAUAAGCGCCACUAAUGCUAGUGUACCUCAAGACCAAACUCUGCGUUUUGGUUAAGAUGUAUUGCGGCGCUUUUAAAUAAGCGCCACUAAUACUUUCUUUAGCGGCGUUUCCACAUAAUCGCCACGAAUUAUAUAGUACACAUCUAGUCCAAAAUGCUGCGUUUUGGUUAAGAGCUUUUGCGACGCUUGGAAGUAAACGCCGCUAAAGAUGUUCUUUUACAGCGUUUAUUCAGAAAACGCCACUGUAUGUCCGACUUUUACCGGCGUUUUAGUAGAAUCGCCGCUAAUGCUACAUCUUCAGCGGCAUUUUAUGGUUUGCGCCGCUAAUGCUCAAUUUUUAGGGGCGUUUGUAAUCCAAACGCCACAAAAUGUGCAGCUAAAAGUCUGUUUUGGUGUAGUGUUAUUUUGUUCUUUUUAUUCACAAUAUAAUGUUAUAUGUAGAUAAAUAUUUUGUUAUUGACACAUCCGAUAUUUUUAGCUUUUUCACUUGAAUUUUUGGAGAGGAAACAUGCGAACUAAUUAUAAAUAGCACUUAUCAAUCUUCGGCAUUCUUCUGCAAGACACACAAUUGAAAGAACAAACGAUUUAUUAAAGAGGAGAUUAUGACUAUUACACUCUGCUUGUUUCUACAAUAUGAAAACAAAAAUGAAAAAUUUUAAUGCAUGUUGCAUAUUAUACAAAAAAAAAUUUGCGAGAUGAAGCGUAGAAGACUUGUUAAAAGAUGUUGAUAAAGAGUUAAAAGUGAUCUAACACUUGGAGAUGUUUGAAGAAUAUCAUAGGCGAGGUUAUUAGUCUUAAUGCAUAUAUAAAUCCUAAACAAAUGUUUGCUCCUUUUGUUUUUCAAAACACUAUAAGCUAUACAUUUCUUAAUUAUUAAAGAUGAAAUUAUAUUAUAUAGGUCAAAUAUUUGUUUUUCUUAUGUUUUAGAAAUUUUAUAAUUAUUAUUAAUUUUUUAAAAAAUUUUGACGCUGACUUAAAUCCAAAUAUUAAUUUAGUGAAGUGAUUUAGAGUUUGAAUUGAGAUUAAUUUGAUAUUGCUAUAGUUAAUGAUGAUAUCGGUUCGAUUCAGGUUUUUGAAUUUUUUAAACCAUCUAUCAUAAUUUAGUUUGGCUCGAUUUGGUUCUUGAUUUUUUUCAUAUUAAUAUUUGAUUUUGGAUUUUUAGACUUAUUUUUGACAAAAAUGAGUUUUUAUGUAUGGUUUUUGAAUAUUAUUUUACAAAAAUUUAAAGCCUUUCUAGAAAUAUUUCUAAAAACCAAUAAUUUUCAAGAACUUUUAAAUUAUUUUCACUAAUUUAAAUGUAAAUUAUUUAUUUUUAUAUCAUAAAAUAAUUUAAAUUAAUUAUAUAAAAAUAAAAAUAAAUUUAAUUCGGUUUCAAUUAAUUGCAAUUUUUAGUCUUGCAUUCCAAAACCGUCCAAACAUCACGGUUCGGGUCAAUUUUCUGUUUUUCUUGCUAAGCCCUAGUUGUAGUACUAUUUUUCACUUAUAAUUUAUAAGCAAUUUAUUUUUUAAAAAAUUAUUGUUAAAGCUCAAAGCUAAUUGAAAUUGAAUUUUAAGAUGAAUUUAAAUUAAUUCAAAAUUUUAAAUUUAACCUAAACCAAAAUUUGGGAAUCAAGAAUUUAAAAAUUAAUAUUUUCAAAGGCUCAAGAAUAAGUUAAGAGCCAUUAAUCCCCGUAUUUUGUUUCUUAUGGAGACAAAAUUAAGCUAAAAAAAUGGAGUUGGUAAGGUUGAAGUGUGGGUUUGAGAAUGGAAUUGACGUUGGGGCAAUAGGCACAAGAGGUGGUUUAUCGUUGGGCUGGAAAGGGAAUACAUUAGUUCAGCUUAAAAGUUUUUCCUCGUUUCAUAUUGAUGUUGAAGUUCAUGAUAAUGAAUGUGGCGAUAUCUGGAGGUUAACGGGGUUCUAUGGGAAUCUGGAUGAAAGAAGUAGAAGAGCUUCGUGGGACCUGCUUCGACAGUUAAAUCAUGAUCAAUCUACCCCUUGGGUUAUUUUGGGUGACUUUAAUGAGAUUGCGAAUUCUUUUGAGAAGAAAGGUGGUCGCCUCCGAUUAGAUCGACAGAUGAGGGAAUUUCGUGAGGCAUUAGAUGAUUGCAGUCUUAAUGAUUUAGGCUUUAUUGGCCGGUGGUUCACAUGGGAACGAGGACAAUUUGUUUCUACAAAUAUAAGGGAACGGCUGGAUCGUGGAGUUGCUACUUUGAGUUGGGUGAAUCUGUUUCCUGGAUGUCGACUUGAACAUUUGGGUCAUUCUUUUUCCGACCAUUGCCCCCUUCUCCUAGAUUCUGGGGGGUGGUAUGGAAUAAUCAAGACAGUUUUGUGAAGCCUUUUAGGUUUGAGGCCAAAUGGUGUUUAGAUAGUUCUUUUGAGGGGAUGGUUAAAAGGUGGUGGGAUGAUAAUUCUGGAAGUGUUUUGAGCAAGUUGGAGGAACUGAGACAUCAUAUGCUCAGUUGGAGUAAGUCUACUCGUAGGAAGGAGAAGAGAAAUAGGAUUGAAUUAGAAGACAAAUUGACUAAUCUUUAUAAUCAAGAUCUUUCUGAUGAGAUUUUAGCUGAGAUUACGGAGGUCCAAUUAGGACUUAAUUUGGAAGGUGAUAAGGAAGAGUUAUUUUGGGAGCAACGUUCACGUGUGAAUUGGUUGAAGAAUGGUGAUCAAAAUACCAGCUAUUUUUAUGAGGUUGUUGUGCAAUGCCAUUUUCGUGGUAGAAUUACUGAGCUGCAAGAUGAAAAUGGGGGAUGGGUUAAUUUGACUGAAGAAUUUUUACAGAUUGCUUCUAAUUAUUUUGGUAACUUUUUUUCUACUUUAGAUAUCGGUUCAGAUGAGCAUUUAUUUGGUUUAGUUGAGAAAAACGUUACUGACAGCAUGAAUGAUAGGUUAUUAAAGAAGUUCACUGAGAAGGAGAUUGCCUAUGUUGUUAAACUGAUGGCACCUUUGAAAGUCCCCGGUGUUGAUGGGUUUCCUACAAUCUUUUUUCAAAGGUACUGGCAUAUUAUUGGGCCGGAAGUCUCUCAAUUCUGUUUAUCUAUUCUGAAUAGACAAUCUGAGCUAGGAGAUAUCAAUAAAACGCGCAUUAUUUUGAUUCUUAAAAUUGAUAAGCCAAAAAAUAUGUCGCAUUUCAGACCCAUAAGCCUUUGUAAUGCUAUUUACAAAAUUAUUGCAAAAGUCUUGGUGAUUUGUAUAAGUGAUAUGUUGGGGAAUUGCAUUGAUGAAGCUCAAGGGGCUUUUAUCCCAGGAAGACUUAUUUCGGACAAUGUGCUAAUUGCUUAUGAGGUCCUUCAUUCUUUAAAAAUGAAGAAGAGCGGGAAGAAAGGUAAUUUUGCGCUUAAACUCGAUAUGAGUAGAGCGUAUAAUCGUGUUGAAUGGGAUUUUUUUGCGGGGAUUAUGAAUCAUUUGGGUUUUCAUAUGGAUUGGAUUGUUCUCAUCAUGCGAUGCGUUUUCUCUGUUUCAUACUCAGUUAGUCUUAAUGGAUAUCAUAGCGAAUGGUUCUCUCCUUCAAGAGGGUUAUGACAAGGAGAUCUUCUUAGCCCCUAUCUGUUUUUAAUUUGUGUUGAAGGUUUUUCUACGCUUAUUUAGGAUGCUAAAAAUAAAGGACGGAUGGUGGGAGCACCUGUUGGUAGGGAGAAAUUUGCUGUUAAUUAUCUAUUUUUUGCAGAUGAUUGUAUCCUAUUUGGAGAUGCCUCGUGUGAGGGAGCUGGGGUGGUUCGUGAUGUAAUCCGUGAGUAUGAGAUGGUUUCGGGGUAACGUGUGAAUUUUGAUAAGUCCCUUAUUUAUUUCAGAGCAAAUGUAGCUUCUAGUGUUAAGGAGGAUAUUGUCAAUCUGUUAGGGGUUCGUUUGGGAUCUAACCCCGAAAAGUACUUAGGCUUGCCUAUGAUGGUGGGGAGGAAUAAAAAGUGGGCUUUUGCUAAUUUUGUGGACCGAUUCAGAAAACGGGUUGAGGGGUAGAGUUUGUGCUAUCUGUCAAUGGGGGUAAGGAGGUCUUUAUUAAAUCAGUUUUGCAGGUGACCUCAAUUUAUGCUAUGCAAUGCUUCUUUCUGCCAAAAACGUUAUGUCGAAAGCUUGAAGGCAUUAUGAACAGGUUUUGGUGGACGAAUAAUAAAUCCUCGAAGGGUAUUCAUUGGAGCACUUGGGAAACGUUAUGUAAUCCAAAAUGCCUUAGAGGGAUGGGCUUUAAAAACUUGUUUUUGUUUAAUAAUGCCUUAUUAGCAAAACAAGUUUGGCGCAUUUUAUCCCGGCCUCAUUGUUUUUUGGCUAAGGUUUUAAAAGUCCGUUAUUUCCCUUAUUUAGAUAUUCUAUUAGCAGUGUUCGGGAGUUGAUUGGAGAAGGGAUUUUGUGGCGGUUGGGAAUGGUGCUCGCAUUAAUAUAUGGAAUGAUCCCUGGUUACCUGGAAGGGAGAACAAUAGAAUUUCAGUUCAGGACAUUCGGCCUAAUUAGACAACAGUUAAUCAAUUAGUUAUGAAUGAGGGUUGUACCUGGAACAGAGAGUUAGUUCAUAAUUUAGUUGAUGAUAAUACAACAACUAGAAUCUUCUCCAUUCCUAUUUCUGGAAGUAGGCCGGAGGACAUGUUGGUCUGGAAGUAUGAAGGCUUAAGGGAUUACACUAUUAAGAGCAGGUAUCGGGUCCUUAUUACAGAACUUUUACAAAGCAAAUCUAAUAUGUCCUCUAAUGAUGAGGAUUAGAAAGGUUUCUACACAGAUUUGUGGUCAUUAAAUAUUCCUGAGAAGAUUAAAAUACACGUUUGGAGGAUGUUUAAUAAUUUGGUGCCUCACUAUUUAAAUCUAGCGCGUAGAACUUUGUGUGAGGAUGCGGUGUGCCCACUGUGUAAGGAAGAACUGGAGAAUUCUGAGCAUCAGUUGUUGUCUUGUGGUGUUCAACAGGAUGUGUGGGCUUCGUUGCAAGUUCAAACUCCUCAUUUUGAAGAUUCGCUGGAUCACAAGAUUCGCUUUGUUAGAACAUUUUUUGAAGCAGACGGCCGACAAAAAUGACUCAUUGCUAUCUCUUUAUAGGGUCUUUGGUUUCAUAGAAAUAAAUUGGUGCAUGAAGGAGUAAAAUUUUCGAGGCAAAAAUUAUUGGGGUUCAUUCGAGGUUAUGAACAAGAUCUUUGUUUAUUUCAUGAGAACCUCUGUCCUAUUACUGGUUCUUUGGUUAAGGAGAUUUGGAGGCCUCCUGACUUUGGAAUCAUUAAGCUUAAUUUUGAUGCGUCUUUCAUUCAAGAAAAUAAACUUGCUACAACAGCGGUUUUAGCUAAAGAUUACAAAGGAGAAGUUGUUGGGGCAGAAACUUAUCUAUUUGAAGAUGUUGUUGACGCAUUUAUGGCAGAGGCACGAGCUUGUGAAAGGGCUUUAAUCUUCGCGAGUAUGAUGUGUUUUAGACGGCUGGCUGUGGAAGGUGAUUCUCUGUCUGUCAUAAAAAAUAUUAGAAAAAAGGAGGCAGAUAAAUCGGUUCUUAGGCCGAUUACUCAUCAUAUUCAUAAGUUGGAUAUGCUUUUUGAUGAGGUUACUUACAAUUUCGUGCCCCGUGCGGUUAAUGAUGCGGCUCAUGUUCUGGCGUUGGAAGGUCGGAGAAGAAGAGUAUGUGGGAGCUGGGUUAAUGGCGUACCUGAUUCGAUGCAGAUUGUGGUGAUGAAGGACCGUUUGGCUUGGAAUCAGAGGGUCUAGGGUUCAUGCAGUUUUGCUUUGAAUUUGGAAAAGGUUCAUUGAAUCUCCAGUUUGUAUUCAAAGCCUUGCUUUCUCCUUUGGCUAGUCUUCGUUGCAGAUAUUGUGGAGAGCUUUUCUGGCUGAUUGUGGGUUAUGAAGAGACGCGGUUGCUGGCUCAUGUGUUUUAUUUUUUUUUCUCUGUUUAUUUGGUCGAUGUUCUCUAGGAUUUUUAUUGCUUUAGGCUGGACAACUGUUUUGUUGCUUUCGUUUUGUCGUUUCUUUUUGGGUGUUGUGUUUGGAGGCUUCUCAGCUUCUUUUUUUCCUUAAGCCGUGGGUCAAUAAAAAUCAGCCUAUUUUUAUAAAAAAAAUCAAUAUUUUCAAAUCUAAGAUUUUGAAAUAUAAAUCCAAAUCCAAAUGUAAGUUUUCCGAAAAGAGUUGUUUAAUAACUUGAUAUUUGGAUUAAAUAAACAAUUGAAAUAUUUUUAUUGAUAUAUAAUCAAAUACACCCCUUAAAAACCAUUUGAAAUGCGAAAUCUUUAUUUGAUAAAAAAAUUAAUUUAUUGAAAAGUAAUAUUUUUAAUAGUUUAAAACAUAUGUUUGAUAACAUAUAUAAAAAACUUUUUGAAAAAGAUAAAUAAAUAAACAAUGACUUAUUACUUAAUGAAUUGCUUUAGUACACAAUAAUUUAAAUUAAUUAUUUUUAUUAUUAGUUUGAAUAUUGUUAAAAAUAUUUAAUUUUUCGUUUUAUGAUAUUUUUAUAUUUAACUUUCACUUUUACCACAUAUUUUUUAUAUUCAAAUUAAAAUUAAAAAAUUAAUAUAGUAUCACAUUUAUUGAGAAAUGAGAUGCAAAGAGAGUUCAAUACUUAGAAGGUUGACUAUAAGUUGAAAAACUACAAUGGUAGCGCACAGACAACAUGAAAUGCAAUGCCUAUAAAUUUAUUACUACAAAAAUUUGCAAUUAAGUCUACCAAGAAGAAAUUUGCAAACUUAAUCCAUACUAGCAAGGAAGCAGAUGAACAAGUACGGAAAGGAAGGUAACAAGAAACUAGUAAAGUUGAAGGAUUCAUGAUAAUGCGUAUGUGAAGAGUGGGAAAUUCGAAGGCUUUGGAAACGAGGAGACAUGCUUUAAAUUAUGACUCUACGUACAGGAUGGAUGAAUAAAAUGCUCCACUGUUUCCCAACCAUUUGGAUCUUCUUCAAAGAGACCUUUCAGUCUGGUGGCUGCCAAACUAGAUGGUGGCAUGCAGUGGACCUGGGUGGUCCACACCGCAUGCUACUUCUGCUUUACCAAAUCUCCUGGGUAUAGGAGGAAUUUAAUUAUUUGUCAAGUCCUCAUUGUAAUGAAAAGGGAAGGAUCCAAACAAAAAUAUUUAUAGGUGUCACAUAUAUGUGAGUUGUAACAGUUCAUUUUUCAGUGGUGUCAGAAAUAGUGAUUUCGGGGCCAUCAAAUCUGAUGAGUAAGUUCGUAAAUAUUAUAUUUAAUAUUUACGAGUUAAUUUUGAUUUUGAAAAUGUUUUUGAUAUAGUGAUUUUUGUUUUAUAAGCUAUUUAUUAAAUUCAAGUGAUUUUAGAAAAUGAGGUAUCGGGACCUUGUUUCUAAAAAUCGAGCCGUAAAUAUUUACGGAGUGUCAUUAAGGUGGUAUUAAAGUUUCGUUGAAAAAUUUUAACGUUUCAAUAGUUAAUUAAUUAAAAAAGAUUAAAUCGCGUAAAGUGCAAAUGCUGAGUUCUAAUAGCUAAAUGUAUUAAAUAGUUGUAGAACUUUAAAGUAGAGGUCCUCAUAUGAUAAAUAGCCCAUUAAUAUGUUAGUGGAUGAUAAUGGCUUGAUAUUUUGUGUAAUUAUUAAAGAUUAUAAAGGUUAUAUUAGUAAAAAGGAUAAUUAAAGGUAUAUUAAAUAAAACAAAAUUCUAGCAUCUUCCAUUAUUAUUUUUCUUUUCAACCGAAUGUUAAAAAAACAAGAAGCCAUUGUUGAAGCUUCAUUCAGUUAAUCUUAUUCCUUCAAAUUAGGUAUACAUUUUUGUCUCGUUUUUUUUAUGAUUUUUACGUUUUCGGGAUCGUUGUAGAUUAAUUCAGUUAGCCUGUACAUUUGAUUUUAAAACUGUUAAAGAUUUUAAAUGUUGACAUUGAUGAAUCUUAUGAUUCUUUUUUAUGUUAAAUGAUGAAUUUGAGAUAUUAAUUGUUAUUUAAAAGUAUUUUAUUAAGUGAUUUUUGAUGAAUUUUUUGAUUAGGGGUUAAAUUGUUGAAAUAAUAAAAAUACAAGGGUUUGUUGUGAAAUUAUUGCAAAUUAGGCUGUAUUGAAUGCCAUGAAUAUUCAACUAGCAUGAGUUUGCAUUAAAAAUGGUUAAUUUGCAUGUUUUGGGCUCAGAGACUAAAUUGAAUAAAAGUAAAAUUUUAGGGGUAAUUUUGUAAAAAUAUAAAAAUACUAAAUUUUAUAAAAUAAAUUAUUUUAUUGUUUAAAUUAAUAAAUUGAAUGAAAUUAUUAAUUUAGAUCAAGAUUGGGUGGAAAAUCGAGGAAAAUAUAAAAUUAUCAAAAUGCUCCUGAAUCUUGGUAUUUUUGCAAUUUAGCCAGGUAAGUUUAUACGGUUAAAUUUAACAUUUGUAUUAAUUGGUGAUUGGUAUUAUAUAUAUUCUACUGUUGGAAAUGAAUUAUUGUUUGAAUUAUAGUAUUGAAUUGGAUAUUCGGUUUGAAUUGAACGCGAGAUUUAAAUACAUUUGUAUUUUGGUGUAUGACGGGGGUUUGGAGUGGAGAUUUAGAGGGAGAUAUCGGUAUAUUACCCAAGUAAACCGGGGUUCAACAUUUGUUGCGAACUCUCGUGUUUUACUUUCUGUUUGGAGUGAUUUUUGUGGAUUAGCUCUUACAAGCUUCUGUUCAGCUUUCACGAGCUUCUGUUGGCGUGUUCUGGUGGAUUAGCUCUAUGAACUUCUGUUGAUGAUGUACUCUUAUCCGUAAGUCGUUCUUUGAAUCGAAAAUCUCGAUAAGGUAAUCUGUUUAAUGAAUUUUUAAAGAUUUAUUAUUUGUUGAAUAUUGAUCUGAACAUAAAUGAAUUCAAUAGUUGAGAUUAUGGAUGAUGCAUAGGUUUAUGCUAAGCUUAUAGUUACAUUAUCUCAUGUUUAAUAUUAAUGAUAUACAAUGAAAUGAUAAAUGAAAAAAAUGGGAAUAUGCUUAUAUUCAUGAAAAGCUGGUAUGAAUCAAAAGGUGAAUUUUUUAUAAAAUGGUUUAUCAUGCGAUUGACUCCAAAUGAGUUGUAUACUUAAAUGCACUAACUUGUGUAUCGAUGAUGGUGAUUAGGCUUAUGUCAAGCUUGAGAUCAUGAUUGAUGUUUAUGCUUAUAUCUGGUAUUAUAUAAAUGAAACGACUAAGAAAAAGUAAUGAAACGGUAAGUUCAUUAUUGAAAUGUGAUAUGACGAAAAAGGGAUUGAUGAAUUGAGUGAUGUACUUAUAUAUGAGAAAUUACGUAUGUUAUGAAUGAACUUACCUAUGAUGUGAAUAAAUAUACUAAUCAGUGAGUUGAUGUUGUUAUUUAAGUUUAUGCUUACUAAGUGGAAUGGAAAGUAAGUAAAGGAAGUAAUUCAUAGUUCUUUGAAAAGGUUAAUGAUAGUAUAUAAUGUUUAUAAAAUCCUAUUAAGUUAGGAAUGAAAAAUAUAUAUUUAUGAUGUUGAUAGACUUACUCAUUUAUAAGUUGAUGGUUAUGUAGUUGACAAAUCUUGAGGCAUUGGUAUAGGUUUAUAUUUAAUCUAUAAAGUUCAUUGAUGAAAUGAAAUGUUAUGUUUAAAGUUUAUACAAGCUUACUAAGCAUUCAUUGCUUACACAUUUAUUUUUCCUUUACUUUUCAGAUUAUCGGAAGCUCGAUCGGGUUGGAAACUUGUCGGAGCUAUAUCACACUAUCCAUCAGUUUUAUCGGUACUUUUGGAUGUUUUGAUUUUGGUUAUAAUGGCAUGUAUAGGUAUUUUGUUUGAUGUUGGCUAUAUGUAAUUUGUUGAGAUUAGUCACUUAUUUUGGCUUGUUUUGGAUGCCUAAUUAUGACUUGUUGAUAUGCAUAAUGUUGAUUGUAGGUUGACACCAAAUUGGGUGAGAAAUAUGACUUGUAAAUUGACCUAUUUUAGUCCACACGGGCAGAGACACGGGCGUGUGUUUCAGCCAUGUGUGACACAUGGCCAGGUGACACGGUUGUGUGUCCCCUAUUUCUUUUAAAGAGUGUAAGUCAGUAUAUUCACACGGCUUGACCACCGGCCAUGUGACCCCUGCAGUGUUGAAAAUGUUAAAUGUUUUCAAAAAAUUUUCUGGGUUUUCGAUUUAGUCCCGAUUUGUUUCUAAUGCAUAACUUGGGCCUCGAUGGCUCGUAUAAGGGACAAUAUGUAUGAUUUUAAUUGGUUUUUGACAUGAAUGCUAUAUGAUAUGAAACGUUUGUAUUUUCUGUUUGUUUGAUUUGUAAACUCCGGUAAUGCUCCAUAACCCUGUUCCGGCGACGGAUGUGGGUUAGGGUGUUACAUGAGUUGCAUGAUGAGGGGAAAAGCAUGGCUCUUCGUGAAUCUCAAAGGAUGUACAUUGAUAGCCACCGAUAUUUACCGGAUCACAUAAAGAUUAGAUUGAUUGUACAUACUCAAAUGAUAAUGCAAAAUGUUGAACGAUCAACAACAGCCAUAUAUAUGAUUUUGGAACUUACAGUGACAUGCAUCUUGUUAGCUUGAACUUAUAAUGUAAGACAAAAAGGGAAGAAAAAAAAAAGGGAUUUAGGGCCACAUCCAACACAGCACACAACACUCGAGACAGCUUUACUGCAUCUGCAUGUUCAAUUCUCAGUUCGUAGCAGCUGAAAACUCGGGGUUGGAAUGACAGAGCAAGUUUAAGAUGAUUAAGUAUUUUAAUUAGGCUAAUUAUGUAUUUGGUAAAUUUUGAAAUAAUAAAUAAAUCCCAAAAAAGAAAACUGUGUGAUGAACCUGAACAGUGGGCUUGGGCCAAACUAUGUGAUAACAUAUUGGCUUGUCUCUUUGCAUGGACAAACUGACACUGGCUAGCUAGAAGAAGAGAUGGAAACAAGCGUAGCUAUCAUGACUUACCCCACAGCGAGGGCUCAAUUCUAAUAAUCUCAACACUGGCUAGAAAUGAAUCACUCUCAAGUCCCAAGUACAGCAUAUGGAGAGGGUUACUCAUACGUGGAAAUACAUACUUCAUAGGACAACCAAUAUGCUCAUCUAGUAGCUGUUAUUUAGAGAAAUUUUUAAUCUGGUUUUUUAAAUAUAGUGCUGUGGUUAAAAUAUGAAAUUAAUUAAGUAAUCAAAUUGCUUGAUUUUUCUUUUUAAUUUAGAUGUUUAGAUAUUCUUUGAAUUUAAAUUGGGAUUAUUAUAGUUAACUAAGCCAUUGGUAUAAUGAUAAACAACAUGGAUAAUUCAAUUGAAUUACAAGAUUUGGCAAGGAAAAGUUUGCAGAGAAAGUGUAAAAUUACAUGCUUUCAUGAUGCAAAAUGUAUAGUUACAGAAUUUCAGGAUGAAUACGACCAAAAGAAAAACUUUCAGGAUAUAUUCAUAAUAAAUAAUAAAUGAAUCCAGCAUUUGUAUAUAUAUAGGUGAAAUGAGAAUGGAACUGUGAUAUUUGCUAAAGUGUGUUGGUGCCCAAUUGAAUGAAUCCAUGUUGCAAGACAAUAGGCAGGGAGGCAUGUUAUUGCUGAAAAGAAAAAGGGCCGGGGGAGGGGGUGGAAGGAAUCAUCGAUACGAAAGAAUAUACUAAAGUGAUUUGUAAAGCAACUUUUUGGGCAGUGGUUUUAUUAAACGUAAAAGUAGGGGGCCCCGCAUCAGUGAGUGAGUGAGUCACCUCACCUGAAACCUAAAUCAACCUCGUGGGGACCAGCUAGGCAGGGCAAUCAUCGUUGAGUGCUGCUAAUCGAGAGACGAGAGACCUAAGAAAAUAAACUGCUCGGUAUGACCGUAGAGAGCGCCACGUGGGAGGGUGUGGUUGGCAUCACAUGCGGUAAAACUGUUGGCUCCACACUUAUUUAACAGAAAUAUUGGUACUUGUUUCCCAAACCUUCAAUUAUGGUUUAUGAGAUGAGUGUUGUGCUCCGUUGCUGACCCUCUCUCUCUCGUACAGUAACAUUUCUUUCCCUCAUAUCAUCAUAUUUUAUAUAAACAUAGUAAUUUUCCUUCAGUUUGGUGAUGCAACUUAGCUAUGACGGACACCACGGACGAUAUAGCGGAGGAAAUCUCUUUCCAGAGCUUCGAGGACGACUUCAAGUUGCUAGGAAAUCUUCUCAACGAUGUGUUGCAGAGAGAAGUUGGCGCCCAAUUCAUGGCCAAGAUCGAGAGGAUUCGACUCCUCGCUCUGGUCACUCUCUUCUCCUUUCAUUAUUUACUGUUUUCUUUUUUGCUUUUUUGUAAAGUAGACACACGGUGACAACCUUCAAAAUGGAGGAAAAUCAAAAUACUGUUACUGUCUUUAUUUGUAUGGCUUGCUUGCUUUUUAUUUAUAUUUCCUUGUACUAUUCUUUGAAUUCUCAUUUCCACUCUGCUUUCUUAUUUACUAUUUUCUGCUUCUCCCCUUCUGAUGCCUCUCUUUGGUUUCUUAAAAUGCGGAGGAAAAAUAGACUUUUUGAUUCUGUUUGGUUGCUAAGAAUUAUAUUAGAUGGAGAAGUGGAAAAUGAAGCGAAAUUCCAAAUCGUCUUUUGUACUUUUACGAUGCUAUUUAAAUUCCACAUGUUCUGUUGUAUUUUUAUGAUACUUUUUCUUUAUUUUGUUUUUGAAAAACAAAUUAUUACCGAACAAAGGCUAGAUUCUCUUAUCUUUGUGUGUAUUUGCAAGUGCAUGCUAGAAUUCGGCUUUACUCAAUCUUGCCUACAUUUUCUCACAAAGCAAACAGAGAAGAGUUUCUUUUGAGAAUGAUUUUUCCCUUUUUUUUUUAAAAAUGUUGUAGAGUGCUUCCAAUAUGCGAUUGUCCGGGAUAGAGAAUAUGGCAGCGUUGCUGGAGAAGCAGCUAGCAUCUGAGAUUUCCGAGAUGACAUUAGAGGAAGCUUUGAAAUUGGCUCGUGCUUUCAGCCAUUAUCUCACUUUGAUGGGAAUUGCUGAGACCUAUCACAGGUAGUGGGAUUUAGUUUAUCAGCUGUUCAAUUUCAUGAGGUCAAUUUUCACUUUUCAAUUUAUAGGGAAUAACGCAUGUACAGUUAUAGAUCCUACGUUGCAAUUAGAUUUUUUUUGAAAGAACAAUUAGAUUAUCUUAAAAUUUCCUAUCAAGUGUUUUUUUCCAGUGAUUCCGAGUGCUGCAAUUUUUUUUUGCUAGUUUAUGUUUCUAUUAUCUCUACCUACUUAAUAAAAAAUGAAGGGUUUGUUGUCAGUUUUCAAUUUUCAUGGCUUUAUCUUAACAGAAAAACAUUUUGGAAUUACUGUUGUUUUGGUUAUUGAUUAGGUAUUGCCUUUCUCAUUUUUUUUUUUUGUGAAUGGUGGGUAAACUAUACAGGAAAUAUGCCAUGCUAACGUUUGAGUGUCUACUUUCGAGAGCAUUCAUUACAUUUUGGAUUUCCUAAUAAAAAUUAAGAAAAUGCAGAAAAAUCCGGAGUCAUACAAUAAGUCUCCUGCUAAAUAUUAUUAUUAUUACUAUCUUCUGUUGUUCUUUGUGCAAAACAAUUUUACGAUUUGCUUUUAUUUAAUCAAGAACUCAACAAAUUCAAGUAAUUAUUUUGUGCAGGGUUCGUAAGGGGCGAAGUGUUACACAUUUAUCAAAGUCUUGUGAUGACAUUUUCAGUCAGUUGAUUCAGGGUGGCGUUACCCCGAAUGACCUUUAUGACACUGUUUGCAAGCAGGUAUAUUUCUUAUAUUGCUUUUAGAUUUAGUUUUCUUCAGUGCCUUGUUCAGUAAAAGAAUAUCAAGUAUUAGAAACUCCAACUUCUCAUUGUGUUUCUGAAAAGUACUCUGAAACUGUCGUCAGAGAAGCCAAACAAAUGUGAGCUUCUAGUGCAGUCUCAGCUAAUGGAGAGGAACAUAAUUGCAACAUUUAUUUUAGUCAUGCCAACAUUUUGUUCAAUUCUUUAUUUUGUGAUCAAAUUAAAUGUAAAAUCCUUUUUUCUGCAGGAGGUUGAGAUUGUUCUUACUGCUCAUCCCACACAAAUUAACCGCCGUACCUUACAAUACAAGCAUAUAAGAAUUGCUGUAAGUUAAGGGUUGUGCUGACAAUUAUUAACUUGAGUCUUGAGGCUAUUUUCUGAAAGUCAACCCGUUUUUCCUUGCAGCAUCUGUUAGAAUACAAUGACCGACCUGAUCUUGGUCAUGAAGAUCGAGAAAUGCUAAUUGAAGAUCUGGUAUUGUUCCCCAAUGCAAUGUUUCCUGACCACUCCUGGAAAAUAAAGGGAAAAAGGGGGUGGGGGGCAUGGUUUGUCUACUAUUGUGAUCAUGGGAAAAAAUGUCUUCCGUUUCUUGGUUUUAUAAGAGUUCCUUUUGACUUUGUAGGUGAGAGAGAUAACAUCGAUAUGGCAGACAGAUGAACUUAGACGCCACAAACCUACUCCUGUGGACGAGGCCAGGGCUGGUAUAUCACUUUAGAGUUUAGACAUAUUAGAAAUUGCAUGCAUUUUAUCUUAUAAAUGCUUCUGUAUGACUAUUAUUAUUUUUUAUUAGGUCUGAACAUAGUGGAGCAAUCCCUUUGGAAAGCCGUACCUCAUUAUUUACGUCGUGUUAGCACUGCCCUUAAGAAAGUGGGAUAUCAACUUCUAUUUUGAAACUACUAGGCUCUUUGAAUGGAUACACAAUAUUUAUAGGCUCGCUCAGUCUUUUUUUUCUUUAAUUUGCCAUUCCUUUUCAGCAUACAGGAAAGCCGCUUCCACUAACAUGUACCCCCAUAAAGUUUGGCUCCUGGAUGGGGGGUGAUAGAGAUGGAAAUCCUAAUGUCACAGCAAAGGUGAGGCUCCUUGCAUCCCUCUACUUUCUGCUCUUUGAUGACUGCUUUUAAACUGGAAUACCCUGAAAAUUGAACGACUGGUUCAUUUUGGAAAUGUGGUUUUGGAAUUUCUAGAUUGAUUCUUAGUAUUUUUCUUGAGACUCCUUGUCCCUUUUUCCACAUGUCUAUGUUACAACUAGUAAUAACUAGCAUUCUGUGCUAGUCCCUAUCGUAUAAUUUCAUGCAAAAAUGGCAUUUUUCCUACAGUUUUACCAAGUGCCUAAUGCCUUCAUUGUUUUUCUUCUCCUUGUUUCAGGUAACAAGGGAUGUCUCACUUUUAUCUAGGUGGAUGGCCAUUGAUCUUUACAUCCGGGAAAUUGAUAGCCUUAGAUUUGAACUAUCCAUGAACCGAUGCAAUGAUAGGCUAUCCAGAUUGGCUCAGGAAAUUCUAGAGAAAGGUUGGGGCUGCUUGAUAUGUUUAUGCUCUUUUCAAUCUUAAACACCUAUCCUAGAAAUUUUUAUUAGUUAGUUUACCUGUUUUACACCAUCUUAUGCUUAAUUGAGGACGCCUUAAUCCUGUAUUCUUCGGGGGGCUAAUGUCAGACACAUGUUGAUGAGCAUAAAUCUGGUUGGCCUUGAUAGCCAAGAAUGUUAUUUGGGCAUAUGAUUUUGAAGAAUAUUUUUCCAAAUCAUUGAAAGAAACCUACAAUUGAAGAAACAAGUGAUCUUAGAUUUGAUGAUAGUGUGUUUUAUACUAUAUCAAAACUUGCGCAAGAUGGAUCGCAAAUUAUAUCUGAUGACUUACAUCCAAGUCUUCCAUAUAGAUUUUGUGUUAUAAUCUGUUUUAAUCCUCUUUAUCUCAGUUAUAUCACAACUUCUGAAAUCUGAACAGUAGGUUUACUUCAUCUUCAGAAACCUUAUCAGAGAACCUACGUGAGAGUCGGAACCAACCUUUAAGCCGAAGUCAACUCAAGCUUCAUGGCCAACAAGCUCCGUCCCUUCCUACCCAACUUCCUGAUAGGGCAGGUUUACCUGCCUGCACUGGUAUGUGCGCGCAGACACUCAAACACUCAUAGCAAAAUGUUUUUUUCAUGGUUUGCUUAUUUGUGCAUACACUUAAAGAGCUUUUGGUCUCAAGAAUAUAAGGUAUUGAACAGUUGAUUGUAAUGAUAAUAUGCAAAAUAGAAAGUUUAAUUUUUCUUGUAAAACAUUUUAUGCUAUAUCUUUGCCCGGACAAUCCAUUCCCAGCUGUGAUGUCUAUGCAUAUAUAUAUUGUUUCUUUUCUUGGUAAUGGAAUUAAUCUUGUCUUUAAUUUCUAAGUGAUACUGUUUCAUUAGAUGAUUUCAUCUGAUUUGUUUAUUCAUGCAGAUUACACCGAUGGUGGAUCUCAAUAUCCAAAACUAGAACUCCCAGGGACUGAUUACAUGCCGUUGGCUCGUGAGGUUAAUUUAUUCUCUUGUAGUUUUGGCUGUUCAACAGGUUCUUCCUUCAUACCGUCAGCAUCAUAGCUAACAUUUAGUUUAAAUGUCUACUUUAGGAUGGUCGGGAAAAUUCAUCUAAGGAUUUAAGUCCCAAUAUACCCAAAUUAUCAGCAAAUGGGAGUUCUGCUAACUCCAAUGGAUCAUCAACUGCUGUCACAUCACGGGGUUCUUUCUCCUCUGGUCAGCUUCUAGCUCAGAGAAAACUAUUUGCAGAAUCUACGAUUGGAAGGUCCAGCUUCCAUAAGCUUCUUGAGCCAAGUUCAGCUCUACGUCCUGGAAUUGCUCCUUAUCGAAUUGUUCUUGGAGAUAUCAAGGAAAAGGUAUUGUUUCUCUAUUAGUUAAAAUACGUAAAAGCUCGUAUAAAAGCUUGUUUUUGGAUAUAAAUCAGGUUUCUUUGUGGCUUGCUGAAAGAGAAUAUGCACCUUUUCUGUUUUAGAAAUGUCGAUAUGGUUUGUAUAGGGGAGAUAAAGAAUUUUAAUUUUAUCUAGCUCAUGGUCUUGCUUUUAGAAUUGAGCUAAAGAAUUAAAAAAAAAAACAGGAUGGAUAAAUAAUGAUAUUACCUAUUCUAUGUAUAUGGUAAGGGCUAGUUUGGCAAUGCUUUUAAAAAAUGGAGUGGAAAAGUGCUUUUGAAAAGUGCUUUUGAAAAGUUUAGUUUAAAAUUUGAGUGUUUAGCAUUAUUCUCAAAAAGUGCUUUUGAGAAAUAAAAUGUCCAUUUUAGACAUGUUAUUAUCAAGUAACAAAUAUACAUUUAAAUAAUAUUUAAAUUAGUUAAUAUUAUUAUAUUUUAGUAAAAAUAUAAAGUAAUUAUUAUAACUUCUUGUUGAUAUUUUAAUAUAUGAAAUAUAAAUUUUAAAUACUUUUAAGCAAUAAAUAUUAAUUAUUUAUAAAAUUUAAUUAGAAUAUAUAAACUAUAUUUUAAAAUUUAAAUAUAACCAUUAAAUAUUUGUAAUUAGUAUUUUAAAUUUUUUUAUUUUUAAUUAAUAAUUUUAACACAUUUGUAAUUAAGCGCCAAAAAGAAAAAAAGGGAAAAUACUAUGUUAUUGGAGGGGUGAAAAAAUAAUUAAGCACUAAAAGUGCUUUUGGGAGAGGAAAAGCUAAAAAUUUUAGCUUCUACUUUUUAAAAGUGCUUUUGAAAAGCACUUCUAAAAAGCUAAAAAUUUCAUCCAAAAGCAGUUUGUUUAGUACAACUUUUCUUUCAAAAGUGUUUUUGGAGUCGGAAGUACUUUUUUUAAGCACUGCAGAACAGGCCCUAAAUGGUUAAAUAUAAAAUUUAAAAUUCCUUGAACAUAUAAAAUGUUUUUAAAUGUGUCAAUGUUAGUUUUAAGGAAAUGUGAAAUCUUAUAUAAAUUCAUUUGGUAACAAGUGUUGGUGAUUAUGACUAAAUGAUUUACAAAUAAUUCUAAAAUUUUGGACUUUUAUAUUAAUUAACCUAUCAUAGGGUUACAUCUGUCAUGUGAAUUUGUAAUUGUAACAUUCCUUUCGCCAGGUAUGUAGAUUAGGCUGAGAAAUUUGAUUCUUUUGCGAAAGUGAUAGAUGAAAAAUCUUAUAUGCUAGGUCUAUUGCAGAAAUAGCUUAAGAAUAUAAAGCAAUUCUGAAAAAUCUUAUAUGCUAGGUCUAUUACAGAAAUAGCUUGAGAAUAUAAAGCAAUUCAAGUGAGCUAGGUUUCAUUUGAGAAUGAUUUUGAACAAAAAGGAAAGGCAUUUUCAAAAUUUUACUUUAAAUCUAGUUCAUUUCUAGUUGUUAGGACAAUUUCCUCAAGCGGCACAGUCAAGGAAAAACUUAUCUAAGAUUUCAAGAUUAUUUUGGGUAUGGAACUAAACAAAUUAUCAUUCAGUGUCAUGCUUAUUCUGCUUUGCUAAAUUUGCAUGCAGAACUUGUGAAAUUUUGUUAGCAAUAAGUUGUUGUUAUUGAUCCGUAGGGUAUGGAAUUUAAUUUUUUCAGUCAAUCUGUUUUUAAUAUCCAGUAAGAUGUGUAUUUGUGUUUUGAUGACCUAUAAUUUCAGCUCAUGAAAACUCGAAGACGGCUGGAACUUCUUCUGGAGGAUCUUCCCUGUGAAUAUGAUCCCUGGGAUUACUAUGAGACGAAAGAUCAAUUUCUGGAACCACUGCUUCUAUGUUAUGAGUCUCUGGUAAUAACUCACAUUCCAAUGGCCUGCUGGAGAAUGAAUGUUCUUGCUGCCGUUAAUAUGGUGCUAUAACUGUAAUCUGCAGCAAUCAUGCGGGGCAGGGAUUCUAGCUGAUGGUCGGCUUGCUGACCUGAUUCGGAGAGUUUCAACAUUUGGGAUGGUGUUAAUGAAGCUUGAUUUGCGUCAGGUACACUUUAUUCAGUUAUAUUCUGGUACUUGCUCGUGUUUUGUGUUUUAGCUAAAGUUUUGUUAAUGUACAGGAAUCUGGUAGGCAUGCUGAAACACUUGAUGCAAUUACCAAAUAUUUGGAUAUGGGUACUUAUAGUGAGUGGGAUGAAGAAAAGAAACUUGAAUUUUUGACAAAAGAGCUAAAGGGGAAGCGGCCACUAGUUCCUCCUACUAUAGAGGUAAAGAUAUUCCAAAAGUAUAUUGGAGUGAAUAGGGGCUUGCAAGGAAUUUUCAAUAAUGAGGCUGAUGUGUGCAUGAAUUGCACACAAACAUACAUUGCAUGACAACUCUUAUAGCAUAAAUUCUGUUCCUUUUUUUAUUAUUGUGUUUAAGUUUCUCUAUGUUAAUAUAUACUGAUGCUAGACCGAAACCCUUAGAUUCUUCCAAAUAAGGUGCUCUUAGGUUUAAAGCUUCUAAACUGGCAAUGACCCAAGCCUCACUGUUACUCAAUAGCUGAGGAAACCAGAAACCAGCAAGAUUCAUGAAGUACUCAACUUGAAACGCAAUAUGUCAAGGGAAAUAACCUGAUUGUUGAAACAGUCAAAACACAAAAGUAACCGAUAGAUAUAAUAACUAAUUAAAGAGAACUCGAAGAUGCCUAAAUUCAGAAGUCCUUAAACGUUGAAAUCAGAAUAUAUUACAAUAAUGCCUCAAAAUCAAAAGUAGGUGGUUUCAAGGUUUUGAUUGCCGAGGUCAUAAGGUGGCAUAGCAAGACAUGGGUUUUUGAUUCUCAUUUGUUACAAAAGUCAGACUCUCAUUGAUAAUAUUGGCUCAUCGCCACAUCAUAAUAGUAAAAUGGAAUUGAGAUCUGGAUAGAGCAUGAGAUAGAACCACUUUGAGGUUCCCCAUGCAGUGAGUCUUUGCAACUGGAUGGGUCUUUGAUUCUCAUUUUUCUUGGGAACACAAUAUGUCAAGGGAAUCCAAGAUGUCUGCCACAUUUCCAUGAAUUCUCCUAAUAUCUUGAGCCAAUUAUAGCCUUUAUUUUCCCUUUUUGUUCGCCGGGAGUCCUACUGGAGUUCAAGUUGCUAUGAUUCAUGGCUAUGUAGUGUUCCUAGGAAGCUGAAAUGUCCGCAUUGAUUUGUUCAUUCGGUUAUAAAACAUUGCAAGUUGGCCCUCUUUAAGGCGCUGGGAUAUUCUUUAUUAAUAUUAUUAUAUCUAAAUAAAAAAUUUGAAAGUCACAUGUAAUUGUUCCGACAUUUUCCUUGGCAAUAUGAUUUCAAGACACGUGGUUACUUUUCAAAUUGACAGGAAAUGAUGCCAAAGGGACACAUGGCCAAGCAAACCUGAAUUGUUAUAUAGUUCCUUAGAAAACAGUCAAUUCUUUCAUCCUCAAACUAAAAAGAGGUUGUGGGUGCCUGAGAGGUAGGACAGUCAUUAUAAACCUUAAUUGAUAAAAGUAUGAAGGUAGAAACGGAUGAGUACUGCAUGCUGCCUAGCAAGUGAGGUAGUCCUUAUAGACCUUAACUGAUGAGAAUGUGAAGGUAGAACACUGAUGAGUACUUAUUGCAAUUAUCACGUACCACCUCUCGUUAAUGUCUUCAUGGUUUGCAUGAGCUGGUUCAUGGGUGAUGUCAGAGCACACACAAAAUGUGCCUUAAAGCACAGCAUGGUCAUACUGUGGGACUAUAGGCAUAUAAUCUCUAGGCAUCAAGGAUUUCUUUGAGUUCAAAUUUCCUCUCCUUUUCUUCCUUUUUUUUGUGGCUCUUAUUCAGAUUUAGCAAAAAGGUCCAUUCUCUUUCUAACUACUAGGACGGUAAAAAAAUUACCUAAAUAGCUCUUGUGCGAUAGAGAUCCAUAGCUGGAUAGCUGAGAACUUGAGGCCUAUUUGUUUGUUGUGUUAGCCUUUGUGGAAAAUCACUCUCUACUAAUAAUUUGUGGAUUCAUAAUAUAUAGAGAAUUUUGGAUGAAUUCCUACUCUUCAUUCUUAGCGACUUCUUUAUAAGAUAGAUAAAAAUGAAAAAGAAAAAAAAGAAGAAAAAACUGAUAUUUAAUAUCAAGUACAAAAAGCAUAUUCAUCGAUUAAACCAUGGGUGGAGUGGCAAAGGACUUGAUAUAAAUUCUUUAGUUUACACUAAUCCCUAGUUUGAUCGUUGGAGAACCGCUACCCCCUUCCCUUUAUCAGAAAAAAGAAGUAAAAAAAAGCAGCAGCAGCAUAUUCAUAUGUGCAGGAUGAAAAAGGCUUAAUUAGAAUGAACCUGAAUAGAGAUAUAAAGAAAAUCCCUUGGAGUUGACGUUACUAAUCAUUUCAUUGUUGCCAUCUCCUCACUUCUAGACUGCUUUUGUUUUGGACUAAAUCGUAUUACAUGUGGAGUGGGGUGGGGGAUCCCCUGAAUUGUGCAUAGGUCUAGGUGCUUUGGCCCUUGGAUUUGCUCUUGUAGUUAUCAUUAUUUGAGUUUAGAAAAUGGUGCCUUCUUUGGUGCAAUAUUCAAAGUCUUUCCUUUAUUUUCAAUUUUCCUUUAUUGCUUUAGUUAACAAAUAGCUCUUAUCUCCAAUGGAUUUGUUUCAGGUUGCUCCUGAUGUUAAAGAAGUCCUAGAUACCUUUUUUGUAGCCGCUGAGCUAGGAAGUGAGUCUCUUGGAGCAUAUGUGAUUUCUAUGGCAUCCAACGUAUGAUUUGCUAAAACCAUAUUAUGUUUACACCUGUUUAUACCUCUGCAGUACAUAAAAGAAAACUUUUUUCCCCUUUUCUGUUAAUUUAUCUUUAGCUUUUACAAUAUUCAUAUAUGGGAUAAAUAGAAACAAUGCUACCCGUUCUUGCUGAUUUGCAGGCAAGUGAUGUCCUUGCUGUGGAGCUCUUGCAGAAAGAUGCUCGACUUGCCGUUAGUGGGGAAUUAGGGAAACCUUGUCCUGGUGGAAUGUAAGUUUGCACCUCAGCUAGUUUAUACUCAUAUGCUCUUAGAUACAUUAAAUGCUAUCAUAUAUUUUUUAGUAUGAUAGCACAAUAGUAAUGAGAGAAACACACGGUUUUUGUUCAUCUGGAUCUCUAACUGUGAUUUAUCCUGGGAUUUUUAGUUCUUUUAUCUUAAUUUGGUUCUGGUUUUCUGCAUCCACUUCCUUUAAAUUGAUAUUAAUCGCGGGUCCUUAUAAUGCGCUUAUUCAUAGUUCUGGGCUACUCUCUAGACAUGGAUGAUCUUGUAUGCACUUGUAGAAGAGUGGCAGAAAUUACUGAUUAUCCAUUUUUCAUGGUUAACUUGUUAACAGGAGUGAAUUAGUUAGUAUUCCAGCUGGAGGUUUCUCCUUAACAUCAUUUUUGUUGUUGAUUAAGAAGAGGGGUAUGGUUUUGAGGUUGGGAACGGGAAUAGGAAUGGGAAGGGUUCCAAUUGCCCACUAUUUUUGUUGCACAAGAUGAGUUUGAAUUCAGUAAAAAACUCAGAACCUAUUAUGUCACUAUCUAAUCUCUCGUAGAUAUUUACUGGGGCAUGAAUAAUAGAACAACAAUAUACUUUGAAGGGAAGAGCUUUGGCACAACAUGUUUAGUUAUGGUUGACAUAAUUCAGCAUAACUAUGGCACUGUUAUACUUUGAAGACUUCUAUUCAUAUCUGUAUCUUUUUGAGUAGGUUGCGUGUGGUUCCCCUGUUUGAAACCGUGAAAGACCUCAGAGGAGCAGGUUCAGUUAUCAGAAAACUGUUAUCGAUUGAUUGGUACCGGGAGCACAUUGUAAAGAACCAUAAUGGGCAUCAAGAAGUAUGUUGAUUUUUAUGGCCAUUUGCGGGUUCAUUUUUGAAGUUCCAUUAAUCUCGUGUUUACGAAGUUAAUUAAAACAGGUGAUGGUCGGAUAUUCUGAUUCUGGUAAAGAUGCUGGACGCUUCACCGCUGCGUGGGAGCUUUACAAAGCACAAGGGGAUGUUGUUGCUGCAUGCAAUGAGUUUGGAAUCAAAGUUACUCUUUUCCAUGGUCGAGGAGGGAGUAUUGGUCGUGGUGGUGGCCCAACUUACCUCGCCAUUCAGUCCCAACCACCUGGUUCUGUAAUGGUGAGUGCCGCUUAAUUUUUAUCUCAGAAAUUUGGUAUUAUUAUUUGAUUAUUUCCUCAAUAAUCCGUAUUUGAGAGAUCAUUUUUUUCUCGGGUAAUUGAAAGAUAGAUGAAAUAUCUUAUUUGGUUGUCUGGUGUUGUAAGUUACCGUCACUUCAAUUUACAGUUUGCUACUUUUUUUAUUAAUGUGGAAAAUUCAAUUGUUGUGUUCCAUUUAUUUGUUGUUGAAAGGCCUUUUUCAGCAAACUGAUACGGAGUUGGAUGCUUCGCUUUGAGGAAUAUUUAGUGUGGUGUCUGAUUGAUAAUGGCAUGUUGAAUUGGCAGGGCACACUUCGGUCAACAGAGCAAGGGGAGAUGGUGCAGGCAAAAUUUGGUUUGCCACAGAUUGCUACUAGACAGCUAGAAAUAUAUACAACGGCAGUGCUGCUUGCAACUCUGCGGCCCCCUCAACCACCUCGAGAACAGAAAUGGUGUAAUCUGAUGGAGGAGAUCUCAAAAAUCAGUUGCCAGAACUACCGGAGCACAGUUUACGAGAACCCGGAAUUCCUGGCGUAUUUCCAAGAGGCUACACCCCAGGCUGAAUUGGGGUAUCUUAACAUAGGGAGCCGGCCGACAAGAAGAAAAGCAACGACAGGAAUAGGACAUCUUAGAGCAAUUCCAUGGAUAUUUGCAUGGACGCAGACCAGAUUUGUACUACCAGCAUGGCUUGGGGUAGGAGCAGGUUUAAAGGGGGUAUGUGAGAAGGGACAUACGGAAGACUUGAAAGCGAUGUACAAAGAGUGGCCGUUUUUCCAGUCCACGGUGGACCUGAUAGAGAUGGUUCUAGGGAAGGCGGAUAUUCCAAUAGCCAAGCAUUACGAUGAAGUGCUAGUGUCAGAGAGCAGGCGGGAACUUGGAGCGGAACUUAGGAGGGAACUGAUGAUGACAGAAAAGCAUGUAUUGGUAGUGAGUGGACAUGAGAAAUUGUCAGAGAACAAUAAGAGCUUGAGAAGGCUGAUAGAGAGCAGGCUCUCAUAUCUGAAUCCAAUGAAUAUGUUGCAGGUGGAGGUUCUGAGGAGGCUUAGACGUGAUGAUGAAAACAACAAACUCAGAGAUGCUUUGCUAAUUACUAUAAAUGGAAUCGCUGCGGGGAUGAGGAACACCGGUUAAUGUUAGAUUAGAGGAUCUCUCUCUCUCUCUCUCUCUCUCUCUCUUUUAGCUUCAUAUAUAUUUGUUGUCCUUAGCCCUACCAGUUAAUGUCUAUCGUGUGGAGUUUGGCGAAUGCAAUACUAGCAAGGGUGAAAUCUGUUUAAACUUUGAUUUUCAGAUUGAAAUUUUAAUCUCUAUCUAUCAUGUACUUUGUCUGUUGAACUUACUUAGCAGAGUAGAAAUGCUAUAAAAUAUGAAUCCAUUGCGUCAAUUACUAGGAAGAGACUGAUUGGUUCAAUCAAAUCAGAUCAGAACCAAAAUCAAGGAAUCGAGAUUGAGCCGAGUAGAAAUGUUAGGGGCUUAUUACCCAAAUAGUAAGCGAUGAUGAUUGAAUUGUAUCGAUAUGGCAAUGCAGUCUUAUUAUGCUACUUGCUGCGCGUGUUGGUCGCGUAAUUUUAUCUUUCUUUCUACAGAACUCUUUAAAUUUAUGUUUUAAUGCUUAAUAGAGCACUUGAGAGAAAAAUGAGUGAAAGGCGAGUGAAAAUUUGAGUGUUGGAGCAAGCUGGAGGAGCCACACGGGCUGAACCAUUCCACACGACCAAAACGCAUGGCCGUGUGACCCACACAGGAGUGUGGUAGGCCAUGUUGAUUUCACGGAAUUACGCACCGAACUAUAGAAAAUUAUAAUUUUUAGGUUUUUCGGUAUUCUAAGACUUAUAUAUGACAAAAAUAAGAAGAUAUGAGUGAGUUAUCAUAGACUAUUUAAAAAAAACUCGAAAAAAACUAUUGAACCCGACUCUAAAGCAUAUUUUUGUGAAGAUUGAAAAUUCCCAGUUGAUUUCUUAGGAAAUUAUCUUGAGUUUCUUUGUUUCUUUCGGUUAUACUGUAUCUUGGAUGUUUUUAUUUUCAAGUAUGAACUAAUUUUCUAAAUACCUAGGGGAGAUGAACCAUAUGAUAGAUUUUGUCGUUUGAUUUAUAUUUUUAUGCAAUAAAUGCUUAGUUUAUUGUUCUUAAUUAUGUGUGCUUAAUUCUUGGUUAAUAUUUCUAGAUUAUUGAUCUAUGUUUGAUGUACUUAAAUCGGUGGUGGAAUAGACCCUGUUUAAGAGUAGAUCUUGCAUAGCUAAGUGGAGUUACAUGCAAUCCUAAAAAUAUGACAACAUAAAUCUACGAGAUUAGAAUCAAAUCUAAUAAGAGAAUCCAUAACACGAGUUAAUGUGAUAAUAGAAGUUUUAAUUAAAAAGAAAUUUCAAUUAAUUAACCCAAAGUCAGUUGUUCUUAUGCUCGAAAAAGAUAUUAGCAUAAUUUAGAGAUUUUGUAACGCCCCAAAAUUUGAAAAUGUGAUUGUUGAAUUCUAUCAAUAGUUAGGUGUCUGCUUCAGUGGUUUAUAGCGUUAAUGGUGUGUCUGAAAUUCGGGGUUCAAAUCCCAUUUUUUGAAAAUUGUUAACUGUUUUGAAUCAACUUUUACUUUGAAUUUUUUUACUUAAGUUAAAUUUUGUGAAUGUUGUGUCAAAAAUGAGCUUGUCGGUUUAAUGGUUAAGCUUCUAAAUAUCGCGCUAGCGGUGGGGACAUAUUUUUGUGUUGUGCGGUAAUUAGGUUAACUUUUAAGUAAUUAAACAUUUUCUUUCUUUCUUUCUUUAUAAUGUUUUCCCUCUUACGUUUUGUUUUUAAAAUUUUUCUUCUCUUUUGCUACUGUUUCUUUUUCUUUUCUUUACUUUCCUUCCUUCAUCUUUCUUCUGCUCUGCUAUAUUGUUAACUGUCGGAUCGUACCAUCCCGUGGCCGACUGUGGUUGUCAAGGGUGAGAUUCAGUUGUUCUAAUUUGUUUGUAGUUGUCUAAUCUUUUGUGAAUUUGGGGUUUUUCUUCAAGCUCUGAAAUUGUGGUUUUAAUCUUUUUUUUGUUGUCCUUUGUUAUUUCGGUACAUUGUGGGGGAAGACCGAGAGACGUCUAACGUCCCUCCAACUAUCUAAGUUUGAGUAAUUGUUGUUGGUUCGUCGGUAAGCAUUAGUUUCGUUAUGGGAUUUUGCAUUGAAGUUUUCGACAUAGUUGGUUGAUUUCUAAUUGUGCGAAUUGUUACGUUUAAAAUGAUUGAUUGGACUUUGGUUGUCGUUUUUAGUUUUUGGGAUCACUUUUGUUGCUUCUACGUUGAAUCCAUAUAGGGUGUGUAAGGAAAACCCCAAAUUCUGCGUUCCGAAAAUCAUGGUUAUCGACGCCACACGACCGUGUGCCAGGCCGUGUGUCAGGUCGUGUAACUUAUCAUUUUAGAAUUAGAGUCACACGGACUAGAGACAUGGGCGUGUGUCCAGGCCGUGUAACUUACUGUUUUGGAAUUAGAGUCACACGGGCCAGAGGCACGAGCGUGUGUCCAGGCUAUGUAACUUAUUGUUUUGGAAUUAGAGUCACACAAGUCAGGGAUACGAGCAUGUGUCCUCGCCGUGUGAGAGGAUUUUUGGGUCUUGAGUCACAUAGGCGUGUGCUUGGUCAUGUGCUAGACCGUGUAACUCACUUUUUUGAGACACGCGGUGUAACAACCCGAUUUUGGGCUUAGCCAGAAUAAUGGUUUCGGGACCACAAAUUUGACGAGGACAAAAUUUUUUUUUAUUAUAUUUUUAUGGUCUACGAUUUCACGAAAUAAUUUUUUGAAAAAUUUGUUCGAAAAUUUUGACGUUUGGGCACUCAAUUUAGUCAAAAUGACUAAAUUGUAAAAAGUGUAAAAGUUGAGUUCUACAUGUUAGGGGUGUCUUUAUAUCGUAAUUAGACCAUUGGUUAAGUUAUGGACAAAAAUAUACAUGAGAUAAGUGAAAUAGAAAAUUUUUAAGUUAGGGGUAAUUUGGUAAUUUAGUAAUAAAAAGAAUUAAAAAGGGAAAAAGAUGGAAAAUGUGUUUAUCUUCUCCAUGAUGAACGAAAAUAGCAAGGGGGAAGCCAUAGUUAGGGUUUUCAAGCUUCCAAGCUCCAUAAUAAGUGAUUUCAAGCCCCGUUUUUAAUGUUCUUUACGAUUUUAGAGUUCCAGUAACUUGAUUUAGCUUAUUCUAGCAAUAAUUUAACCUAGGGUUUAUAUUUGGAAAAAUACCCAUAGGUGAAAUGUGUUUCUUUUGAUGUUUUAUGGUAGAAUAUAAAGCUUAAAAUUAUGUUAAACAACUUUUGCUAAGUGGUUAAGUGAUUUUAAGUGAAAAUGAGUAAAACGACAAAAUCGGUAAAAAUACCUAAUGUUCAUAAGUAAGUGUUAGAGUGGGAAUUUGAUGUUGCCGUAGAAGGGAAAAAUGUUCAGAAUGUCAUAAUACAUGAGAAUAAGGGAUGAAUUUUAAUUUACGAGCUUUAGGGAAAAAGUGUAAAUAUGCAAAAGUUUAGGGGAAAAUUUGUAAUUUUGCCAAAGUUUAAGUCAAGGACUGUUUUGAUAAAUGUGAGUAUUAAAUAAAUCAAAUGUGUUAUUAUAGAUCAAGAAAGAAGUGGAAUCAACCUUGAUCGGAGAAAAGAAAAGAUUAAAGACUAAAUUGCUAAAUUUUUAUAUUGUUGCAUCAAAGUAAGUUAUGUGUAAAUAAUAGCAAUAUAUUUUUUAUAAAUUGUGAAUUAUAUUUGAUAUGUGAAUUAUUAUUGAAUGUGGAAGGAAAAUUUUUCAUGAAUUAUUCAAGUGAUAAAGUGUUUAAAAUAAAGUGUUAAGUGUAAAUUCCUGGUUGAACUUAGGAAUAGAAGUGGAUACAAGUGACUUGUCACUAGAGACCAGUGUUACAGUGUUACAAUGGGUCCCGGGUGCUAGGUGAUCUAGCAUGUGUUGUAGACACCUGACAGCUUGUGUGAGUAGGCCCGUAGACAUUUCCAGUGUUAUUGAUCAGUGGUAGCUACAGCUACAUAUCAGUGGUAGCUUCGGCUACAUUUCAGUGGUAGCUACGGCUACGUAUCAGUGUGGCACUCAUGUGCUAAUUCUCUACGUAUCCGUGUAUAUUCCGAGUGUUCAACGGGAAAUUUACUAAGUGAAAAUAUAUGAGAUUAUGUAACGACUAAGUGUAAUUGAAUGAUGAAUAUAUGUGUGGAAUUGAAUUGAAUAGUGAUCGAAAGUGAAAAAGUGAAAUUAUGAAAUAGUAGAAUUAGCAGCAAAAUAGUUUUGGACAGAAACAGUUGCAUGACUUUGAAAAAUCACCAAAAAUGAUGGAAAUCGAAUUAGAGGUUGAAUAAGAUAUUAAAUGAAAGGUUAAUGAGUCUAUUUUUACAUAAAAGAAAUAGAGUAAGCAAAAGAGUUAUAUAUUUUGAGAUAUUUUAAGUUUAGUGAGACAGGGUCAGAAUGAAUUUGGAAUCCCCUGUUCUAACUUUGAAAAAUUGUUAAAAAUUGUAAAAAAAUAAUUACGGGCUAAAAUUUAUAUGUUUAGAACCCUAAAUGAGUUUAUUUUCAAGUGAAAUAAACGUAAGUACCAUCUGAAUUCUGUACAAUGAGAUAAUUAAUUUUUAGUGAAGAGAUGUCAGAAUUGUUGAGCAAUGAAAUAGGGGAAAAUUUAAAGAAUAAACUGUACUUAUUAGCUAAUCCAAAAAUUAUGAAAAUUUUAUGGCAAGAAUAUAUGUGAAUCUAGUUUCAGGAAAAAUUAACGGAUCUUAAUUUGGAGCUCUGUAGCUCCGGAUAAAAAUAAUUUAGUGACUCUGACUCGGAUAGACAUCUUUGAAUUACAUGUGAGUGAAUAGUAAAAUUAUAGAAAAUGUUAUUUAUAAGAGUGUUAUGUACAUUAAGGAUGUGGAAUGGAGAGGAGGAGGAGGAGGAAAUAUAAAAUAUAUGAAUGAUUUGUAUAUAAAUUAGUCAUAUGCCCGAUUAUAUUUGAUAAACGUUGAAUUAGAAAUGACAUAAUGUUUCAUUUCAAUUAGUUAUUAUGAAUUGAAUUGUAAAUUCAUAUGGCUGAAACCAAACAAUUAUUUGUUAGUAUUAUGCAUGACAUAAUGUAUUAUUCUAUAUACAUAUUCAUGGUUGAAUUAUGAUGGUUGAGAAAGAUAGAUAAAUUGGAAUGAAAGUUCAAAUUGAGUAGAACGCAGGGUUGGGUACUUUCGUUCAGUGAUAAAGACGAAUUGACAGAAAAUACCAGGGAUGGACCAUGGCAAUAAGUGAUAUGUAAUUUCGUGUAAGACCAUAGCUGGGCUAUGGCAUCGGUAUAUGUUAUGAGAUUACGUGUAAGACCAUUGCUGGGCUAUGGCAUCGGUAUAUGUUAUGUGAUUACAUGCAAGACCAUAGUUGGACUAUGGCAUCGAGAAAAUAAGUACUCAAUUCCGUAAGACGUUCACUAAUUUGACAAAGUUGGUGAGUGUUACAUGGACUCAUAUUCAAGUGAUAGAUUUAUUGUGAUUGUUGAAUUUGAAUUCAAUUAAGUGAUUUCACCAAUUGGAUAUUGUAUAUGGCAAGAUGUGUUAGUGAAUUACAUAUUUAUGAAAUGAUAUACGAAGUUCAGUAAAUGAUACAUGAAAUUAAUAUGAAAAGAUUUAUGAUUGUUAUUAGUAUUGUUUCUGACAUAAUGUGGAUUCUUCGAUGUUGAAAUGAUUUAAAGGAUUUAUUGAGCAUAUGAAUGAGUAUGAGACUCAUACGAGUUAGUAUAGAUAUGUACAUGUGUCUUAUAAGCUUUGAAAUGAUAAGACUUGUGAAUUGUGAAUUAAUCUGUGUGAAAGUAUAUGGGAUAGAUUAGCGAAUCUUUACGAGAUAUUGAAUAUUUAAUAUAUUACAAUGGUGGUAGCUAUAAGGCUUGGAUCGAAUGAGUAUCUAUUGGGCCUCGUAAGCCCUAAUUAGCGAUUUGAAGAUAAUAAUUUGAAAGUUUUAAUCUGUAUGAAAUUUUAUAACUCGGUUUAAUAUGUUUAUAAGUGUAUAUGUUCUGGUAAUGCCUCGUACUCUAUUCCGGUGUUGAAUACGGGUAAGGGGUGUUACAAUGUGACAUCGCCAGAUUCGGCCAUAACGUUUAGGCUGGGUUUGGGGUGUUAUACACGGCCAUGUGUGACAUUAAUGAGGGCCACAAGGCGAGUGCUUGGCCAUGUGGACCACACGAGCCAGCCAUUCAAGCCGUGUGAAUCCACACGGGUGUGUGGGCCAGAAAUCAAAUUUUUUUCCUAGAGUCAUAAACAUCGUUCGGAUUGAACGUAUGCCUAUCUUAGGGUCCGUAUGAUUUGAAUUAGACAAUGAAAUCUAAUAUCUGGUAAUCUAUUACUGAAUAAUCUGUUAUUUAGACAUAUAUGUUUGAUAUGAAAUCUAAUAAGUAAGUGUGACAGUAAUACGUGAGUAUGAUUUGAAAUUGUACCACUGUAUACGCAUAUCUAUUAUCUGAUAUAUCUGCAUUUGCAUCAGGUUUGGGAACUUGUAAAGGAGGAAGUGUGGAUAGUUUAAUAAUCUGCCAAUUUUGGUGGCUAAGCCAUAACCGUAUAUCUGACUCUGGUGAUUUAUCGCAUUUUAAUUUGGCAGCUAGAUUGCAAUUACUUUGAAACGUGACAUAUAGUCACUACACGGUGUGUAGGGAUGGAUGGGUACUUGAUACCCUAUAUGCUGUGUAGGAUUGGACGGAGGUGGUGUGUAGCGGUUGGGGGUAAGACUUUGCAUCUGUAUUUGAUAUGUUCUGCUACUGAAUUCGAUGCCCUCUGCUUUUGUCUCUGUGUCUAAUUCUAAGAAUUGUCUGAGAAAUGAAACUGAAAUCAUACCUGUUAUAUUACUGAUUAUUUGAUUAUAUAAGUUAGGCACUGAGUUGUAAACUCAUCUAGUCUAUUUGUUUAGAUGACAAGUAACCCACAGACUUAGGUGGGUCGGAGUGUUAGGAGCUCAGUCACAUCGUUUAACUGAUUUAUUAUGUUAUUUGGAUUUAUGCUUAAUUGUUAUUCUGGGUUGUGGAUUUUAAUACUGGAUUUUAUAUUUUUCUUUUGAACGUUUCAAUUUCUGGGAUGGUUUGAAUUUUUAUUUUUAAAAAAAUGGACUUUCCUAGAAUGAUUGAUGUAGCUCUCCAGACUUGGUCAUAUCAUUAGGUCGGGUUUGGGGUGUUACAUAUUUCUAUGGAUCAAAAUACUAAGUAAAGAAAUUGUGUAAUUUAGAUUGAUAGUGACAGAUGAAAUCUAGGUAAAUUCUUUCUUGAAUAUUGUUUCGCUUCAUGGUUGUUAAUCGAUUAUUUUUUAAUUUAUUCCUUAUUGUGUUCGUUAGUUAAUUAAUUUAGUUAAUUUUAGUUUUUAAUCAAUCACUCGAAUUAUUAAGUUAAAUAAUAGAAAGACGAUAAUUAUUAGUACUUUUAGUCUUCGUGGGAACGAUAUAUUUACUCACCAUAACUAUACUAUUAAUUGAUAGAUGCACUUACCUUACUCAACUUUUUAGUUAAUUUUGUGGACAUCAACCUCCAUUAUUACUAGACUAUGGGCAACUUUAUUUCUUUGCCAAUGAUUUCAUAGUUAAUUUUAAAAUUUUAAAAAUAUUAUUUGGUUCACUUUUAAUAAUUAAUUUGAUACUUUUAGGUAGAUAAUUUUCAUCUUUUAGUUAAUGCAUAGAGAUAGAAAUAAAUUUAUGAGAUUAUUUCGUAAUCAUGUCAUUUUUUUAAAAGAUUUUAUUUGCCUCUUUUUAUAUUUUAAUAUGGAAAAAAUUAUUAGCAAAUAAACAUAGAUGAUAAAAAAACUCCAAUAGCUAUCAACAUUUUAGGGCAAUUUAUCAAUAAAAGCCCUUUUUUUUCAAAAAUUACCGAAAUAGGCCCAUUUUUUAAUUAUUUACCGGAAUGGUCCUUUUUCCUGGAAAUCGCGUCCAUGUCAGCAUCUCGCGCUGACGUGGACGCGAUUUCGGCCCGCGCGUGAACAGUACCCAACGGUCAAAAAAAUAAAAUACCGGGCCCAUUUCGAUAAAUUUUAAAAAUAUAAGGCUUUUUUGGUAUUUUGAAAAAAUAAAUUUUGAAUCUUUUUGUACUUGUAUUUAUUUUUUUAAUCAAUUAACUCUUCAAUAUUACAUCUGUAACACCCCUUACCCGAGACCGUUGUCGAAGUCGAGCACGAGGCAUUACUUAGCUUAUCUUACUAAUUCGGAGUAUAAAAACUUGUUUUGAAAAUUAAUUUCACUAUUUACUGCAAAUCUGUCCAAUCGUGCAUCAGUUACUAAAUUAAUUAUAACUCGAGUUACGGUACUCGAAAUUUAAUUCCGCAAAUUUUCCCUGAAACUAGACUCAUAUAUCUUCCAACUAUAAAAUUUUUAUUCAAAUUAUCUCAUACACUAUUUCUUAAUACAAUUUAUACCAUUAAUCUUUCAAUAAACAUUUAAUACAUUAAAUCAACUUGUUUCAACAAUAACAAUGAUAAUAAUAGCUAUCUUUCAAUUCGAUUCGUUCAUUUAUAAUCAAUUUACACUUAUGAUCUUUUAACACUCAAUUUGUACAUUAAAUCCGUAAAUAAGUUUUAAUAACUUGUAUUAAAUUUUCGUAUUAUUUCACUAUUUCAAGUCAUUUUAUUUUCACUUCUCAUUUCUCAACAAUAGCUAUUUCAAUUUGCUUUUCUUUACUUAUAAUUUUACAUCAUCUCAUACUAUCAAAACCAUUUCAUGAACUAUAUCAUUAUCUAUUUCUUGAGCCGCUAGUUCAUACAUUUUAUUUCCAUAUGUCAAUUUAAUAUCUCAUUUUGAUUCAUAUUUAAGAUCAUUCAAUAAAAUUUAUAUUAUCAAAAUUAUCCAUUUACCCCUAUUAACUUGACUCGGACCUUGGCGGAUACACGGAUUCCAACCAAACACACCAGUAACAGUAAUCAGUAACAAUAACAGUGUUCGACACACAAAGUGCCGAAUCGGUAACGGUGACAGUAACAGUAACAGUAUUCGACACACAAAGUGCCGAAUCGGUAACAGUAACAAUAGUCGGCACAUAAGUGCCUGAUUAGUAAGCCGGCAAAUACCCCGUACUUUUCCAUAUCCUAUGGCAUGCCAACUAUAUCCGACUAGCCCGACUAGUUAAUAGGAUAUUUAACUCACUUUUCAGUACAAUUUUCGUCUUAAUUCAGUAUCAAUUAUAAAUUCCUUAUUUCAAUCAGUUUCACAGUAUUAUAAUAAUUUAUUACUUUAGUAAUUUCAUAAUUCAAUGCAUUAUACAUAACAAUAUUCAGUAUUUUCAUAAUUCACUCAGUACUCAAAACAAUAUCCAGUAUUCCCUAAUUCAGUUCAGUAUCAGUCUUACAUAUCAAUUUCCACUUUCUCAAUUCAAUUCCAAUAAAAUCCAUAUCAGUCACCAAUUCCAAUAUUCCAGUUCAAUUCAAUGAUUCAAUUCAAACCAUUUCAAUUUCUAUUCAAUAAUCACAUUUCAAUUUCACUUUCUUAAUUCAAUAUUCAUCUCAAUUACUCACAUAUAAUUACAAUUCAAUCUAAUUUCAUUCAGUUCAAUAUCAGUACUUAAUCUCAAUAAUUAUAUUCACUAGAAAUCUACUCCAUUCAAAGAAAUAUUAUCAUACCAAAUUUCUUACUUUAUUUAUUUACCAUACAUUCUAAUUAAAACACAAUAAUUAAUAAUAAUUAGAUUUGAAUUAUGAUAAUACUAACCGAAAUUUCUCUCGAGUCACUCUUUGUUCACCUUCUCCUUUCCUUUCUCGGACAAUAACUCUUGCACGACAUUAGCUACGUAAUUAAACAAUUAAAAAUCAUUAAUACACAAUUUCAUUAAAAUAUUUCCUUUUGUACCUAAACUUUACCUAAAUUCUAAUUUAAUUCCUUAUCAAUAUUAAUUUCAUUUUCCCAUUCUAACUCCAUAUUCUCUCUUAAUUCUUACUACAAACUCAAUUUAACUCUUCAAUUUCACCAUAAAUCCCUAAUUUCGGGAUUCUUUCAAUUUAGUCCCUACUUUUCAAAACUUACACUUUAUUUCAAUUAAAUCCUUUACUAACUUCUAACUUGAAAUUCAAUCAAUUUAACCCCCUAACACUUCAAUUUAUUCAACAUGAACAUCAUCUAAUAAUCUACUAACUUUCAAAAUAUCAACAUAAAUCAAGUAGUUUUUAUCUCUAGGAUUCCAAAAACAUCAAAACUAAGAGAAAAGGGAUUAAAUUGACUUACCAAAUUAACUCUGAACCUUAAAACCCCAAAUUUCUCUUUUUCUUUUUCUUUCUUUCUUUCUCCCCUGCUUCUUCUAUGUUUCGUUUGCCUAUUCUGUUUCUAUUCUCUUUUCUAUCUUUUAUUUCAUUUAUUUAAUUAGUUUAAUAUAAUAACAAUAAAAUAAUAAUAUAAUAUUACUUAUGUAAUAGGCCAUUUUUGCCCGGGCCCAUACCAGCAAAAUAGACCCAAAUAAUAAAAACAAAAGCAGCCCAUUUUCAGCCAAUUUAAACCCAAAAAAACUACAAGCCCAAAUGCCCAAUAUUAAUAAAAACCCUAGAGGCCCGAAUGGCCCAAAACUACACCAGCUUUCAAACACAAAAAGAAACCCCAGUCGCAUGUUGUUGCUGCCACCUCCUGCGCACGCCCACCGUCGCUACUCGCCAAUCGCCGGCUUCGCGUGUCCACGCGUCUGACACCUGCAAAACGAAGCCACACGCAACAGUACAAGGAUCCAAAGCAUAAAACGACAGAAAUAGAAGUUUAGGGGUUGUAAAAAUUUGCUAUAUAGGCUGAACAAAAGCAUUGUAAUUUUUUCUUCUGGCAAUUUCAUGAACUUUAGAAAUAAAAGAAAACUAAGUUUUUCUUCUCUAGACCUGUUAUUUUAUUUUGGUUUUGCUCUAUUUUAUUUUUUUAACAAAAACAAAAUAAAGAAAAGGGGGCUCACCGGAACCUUUGUGACCGCAUCGUCGGGAAAGGGUGAAGCUACGCCGCCAUCGGGACCGGAUCCAUAAGGAGGCCGGGGUUCUCCUCUGUUUUGGUCGCUUGCAGGGCUCGACCCUCGAUGGCGCUGCCAGGCAGAGGCUGAAAAGCCCAUUUUUUACGCGUCAGACACCGGCUACGGAGGCGGUGCGGUCGUUCAUCGACGGUGAGUGGGCCUGGAACCCAAGCAGAAAAAGGGAAACCUCCCUUUUAUUUUUCUGUGUUCUUUGCAAGAGAAUGAAACAGCAGAAAAAGAAGUAAAAUUUUUGCUUUUAUGGAUGAUUAAACCGGUGCCGUUUGAUGGGGGAGAUCUGCGCAUGCUUUGCCCUAAUGGGUAAUUUAUGCCUUUAGUCCCUCCAUCUUGCGUUGAAGUGCAAUCCAGCCUUUUAUUUCUUUUCUGAUUUGGGCCAUAAGAUUUACUGCUUGUUUCAUUUUAGUCCGUGUCAAAACGCAGCAUUUUGGGGAUGGGGAUUAUUUCCCAGUUAGUCCCUAUCUCUCUGCGCGCAUUUAGUUCAGGUCCCGAUUGUCCUUUUUAUUUAAAAUCUGUCAUUUAAUUUUGUUUUUAAUUUCUGUCUAGUCCCGGGUCCAUUUAAUUUAUUUGUUUAUUAUUAUUAUUAUUAUUAUUUAAAAAAACAGAAACUCUUUUAUUAUUAUUUGUUUUAAAUUUUAUUUAUUUAUUAUUUAUUGUAA
rnacentral:lncRNA from 1 species